UUUUAAAGAGGGUAACCUAAAAAAAAUCAAUAAAUAAAUUGAGAUCAUCAUCAGGCUUCUAAGCUUUAAUUAGAGCUAGGGUCUUUUUUCUCUGGGUUUUGGACGCAUAGGCAUGACCACGGUUACGGUUAUUGCGGUUACGGUUUAUUAACCACCGGUUAUGGUUAUAAAUUUUCUCUAACCGUAACCUUAACCACUAUAUAUACGGUUAAAACGGUUAAGGUUAAAUACGGUUACGGUUACAACGGUUACGGUUAAAUACGGUUACAAUAAUUUAAUUAUUACGAUACGGUUAAUAUCAAAGACAAAAGCUUGGAAUUUUAUUUACCUUUAGAAUGAAAACUUUAACGAUAAUAUAUCAAAUAAUAUUUAUUUUAUAGUAUGUAAUAUAUGUGAUUAUAUGCUUAUAAUAUUUAUAGUUAAUUAGCUAUUUUGUUUUGUUAAGUAAACCAACAAUAACUAAAUAAAUGGUCAUAAUUAUAAAGAUUGACUUAUUGUCUUAUUGUCUUAUUCCAAACAAUACUAUAGAAAGGAAGUUGUGAGAAUUAAGAAACGAGUACCUGAGUAUAAAUAAUAACUAUGUAAACUAUUUAUGAUUUGAUUUAUGAAAAAGGAGUAGUGGAGUAGUGAAGUUCAUUAAAUUUAAUAGUGGAAUAAUUAUGUAUUUAAAGUUUUAACUGCACGGUUAAUUAUUCGGUUAACCGUGUGGUUAACCGUACGGUUAACUAACGGUUUUGAUACGUUUACGGUUAAUUAACGGUUACGGUUAGUAUAUUUUUUAACCGUAACUAAUCUAUUUUUAUGGUUAACGGUUACGGUUUUUAACCGUUUUAUACGGUUACGGUCCGGUUACGGUUGAAAAACGGUCCGGUUACGGUCCGAAAUACGGUUACGGUUAGCUUUUGGUCAUGCCUAUGGACGCAAAUUGCUUCAUUCAUCAUCAAGUAAGUUUUGUGAUGAAUCAUUGAUUAUAGGAUCAGUCAUCAGCUAUUGCCACUAUUCAUCUCCUUUAUCCUAGUUUUAUUUCUCUGUAAUUUAUAACACAAUUUUAAUUUGUGUUAAACAGAUACAUGAACUUAGCAAAGGAUAUAUCCACCUCGAUAGUAAACACUCUGAUAUAUACUACAUCUUUGUUGAUACAUCAAUUUGGUUUUAGUUUAGUCUGUGUCUGGUUCUUAAUUAGAUUAUUGGUUCUCAUGGUACAUAGAUUUAUUCCUAGAUCUAAAGGUAUUGAAAUUUAAUGUAUGUUUUGUGAAUUUCUUAAGUUUACAGAUUGUACAAAUCAUUAUUUCAGGUUUUGAUGGAUAAGUCAUGGAUAAACAAACCACGUUUAUCUCAAGAUUACAUAUUAGGGGUGAAAAGUUUCUUGGAUUUUGCUUUUGGUAAAUCAAAAGCAUACAUGAUGAAAUGUCCAUGUAACCGUUGUUCUCUCGUCAAAACUAAGUCAAGAGAAGAUAUCGAAGGUGAUUUGAUGUGGUUUGGCUUUUUAAGUUCUUAUACAAAUUGGGUACUACACGGAGAGGAUGUAUGUCUAACAGGAAAUGCAAGAGUACCUUGUGAUAUUGCUUCUGAUAGUAGUAGUCUCAAUCUCUGGUCAGUUUUCUCAUGUUUAACAAUGCAACAAUGUAAUUAUUGAUGGAAUAAACUAACUAAUUUGAAAAAUGCGCAGAAGUGGAGGCUUGGGAAUGCAUGAAGUCGACGAAAAUAUUUCCGGUAGUGAAUAAUUAAACAUUUGACUGCGAUCACGAACACUACAAGAAAUAUCUACAUUAUUAGCAAUAGAGAAGAGCUAUUAUAUGUCAUUAAUAGCGUUUUCAUAAACGUUGUCUUAUGCCCCUGUUAUGGUAGACCCCCACAUACGAUAGCGUUUUUAGAAUGCUAUGGUAGACCCCUACUUACGAUAGCAUUUUUGUAUUAUAGCAUUAGUCGAAUGCUAUAAUAUAUUUUAUUAUUACACACAUUUAGUGUUGUUUUAUAUAAUGUCGUAAAAUUUUCUUUCGCUAUAUAAAUUUAAUUUGAUUUAUAAAAUAAAAUUUAUAUUGGAACCCAAUUUUGUAAAAUUUACUUAUUGGACAUAUAUAUAUAUAUAUAAUGUUUAUAUUUUAUAAAUCAUCAACAAGUAAUAUUACAUUACAAAAAACAAGUCAUACAUAACAUUGUAUUAAGUCUUAUACUAUUUUACUAAAUUAUCGCCUAGUCUUAAACAAACUAAAACUAACAUCAUAUAUUAAACGAUAUAGUCAACUUUCUCCUUGAACUUGACUCCCAUCUCUUCAACCAUUCUCUCGUAUCAACAGCUUGAUCAAAUUGUAAAACAAACAAUAUGUGAUUAAGCAUUAUUUCAAACUAAUAAUUCUAUUUGUACAGAUACGCAAACUUGAGAUAUAAGAUUUGGUAGAGGAAAGAUAAGGAACCUGAGAACUCUUUUGCAGCUCCUCCCCGAGUGACAUUUCCUUCUCAUACUCAUCAAGCUCCUUCUGCAGCUACAUAGAGAAAAACUGAUAUCAAACCAAGAACUUGUUCUCUAUGUUUCAUCUGAUAAGUUUUAAAACAUAGAACAGAUAAUAAACACAAUAUUCAUCUGAAGCAAUGGACUGUGAGUAGAGAAAAAUAAAUAGGAACAUACCGGGAAUAAGGUGAGGACAUAAGCAUCUACAGUCACUCCCAUACACAUCACAACACCAAGACUGAACAAAAGCAUACAUUAUACAUUAUAGAACAAAAGUUGAGAACUACAAUAAGCCAGAUAUAAGGAAUUAAAUCAUUACCCGAAAAAGUUGAGAAUUCAAGGAUCUGAUCUGCCAAGUUUUCAGCACAAGGGGCUGAGUCAUUAGGAAAAAUUGGAGCAGCUCCUAACUGCAAGAACUCUUCGUGAAGAUACAAGAAAAAAAGAGAAAUUAUGUGAGUAAUCACGACAAGCAAACUAUAAGGCAAGAAGCAACGAAAACAUUAACAAAUUCAGUAAAACAGAGAUUCUUCAGACUUACGGUUUAAGGUCAAAUCAGGAUAAGUAAUCAAUGGUCGCUUUUCUCUAUCUCCAAAGACAAUGACAGACACAACACCACUAGCAGUUAUAACACGAUGCUCAUGAACACAAGAAACCAACAAGUUUUAACAAAAGUAACGGAUCAUGAAACCAACAGGAAAAAACUAAACUUUUAACCAUACCAUUGUUAAAGGUCGAUCUUGAUUCUCAGAUUAUAUGGAUCUCCAUGGAAGACAUCAGGAACCACGACAUAUAAUCCAGAUCUGCAACCUUCUCAGCAAGUUUCCUAUCACAAUAAAACCAUAAAACGAAGACAAGUUACAAAAACAAUUAACCUAAGCAUUGAGCUAGAGAAAGUAACACAAAUAUGGCAAAAAAAACAAAUAAAUCUUCUCAUAAACCUUCAUAUCAAACGAGUUCCUUCUCCCUCUCUCUCUCAACCAAUUUCUCAACCCUUACCUUCUUCCUAGCCUUAGCCUCCUCCUCUUGAUCCUUAUCUCUAUUUCUCAUAUCCGGUUCACGAUCUCGUUCACGACGACCACGCUCAUGGUCUCUCUCUCGCUCUCGUUCUCUGUCUUUAUUCCUAUUGCAGUCUCGAUCUCGCCCUCUAUCUCUCUCCCUGUCACAGUCACGUUCUCGGUCCCGAACUCCGUCUCGAUCCUUGUCCAGAUUGGUGUUGUCUGCAUUGGAGGAAUCGACCGAGUUCGUGAACCAAGCUGGAGACUGAAGGAUAAUGAAGAGAUGCAAAAUGAGGCCGGCGGCGAGCUCACGGUGGAGUCGGAGUCGAUGAGAACCUAGGUUUCGAUUUGGGGGAAUUUUGUUUUUUUUUUUUGUCGUAAACAGCUAGUAAGUUUUUUUUGGCUUUGGCUAUAAACUAUAACACUUAAAAUUUUGGUUUCUGAAGUUUAUGGCGCUUAAGUGAAAUUUUCAUGUAAGUAUUGGCGGAAUAAGUGAUUUUCGCUUCUGAUUUGGUGAUUUUUUAUUUUAGCGUUGUUUUAGUGCUAUAUAUAAUAAUCAAAAAAUAAAAUUCAUCUAUCAUAACAGUUACGGAAAAUGAGCUAUCGUCAGAUGCUAUCAAUGUGGAUAUUUUUUGUAGUGGAAUGCAGUAAAUGGAGAUAUGGGACCAUGGAGAUUGCAAAUAAUAUCUAAACGGUAGCCUUUGCACUUGUUCCUUGAACUGCUGAUCAUAUACGUUAUGAUCAGGAAUCGUAACUUUUGGUUUACAAGAUUGCAUUGUGAUAAUCAAUGACAAUACAUUUGUUCUUUGUGUUGGUGAUUACAAAUAGAAAUACUUUAAACUUCUCGCUUUAGUGUGGGAAUUUUAUUAGUUAGAAAUUAGUGAAAAUUACCCAGUUUGACACAAAUUUUGAAACUAAUUGCUAGAUUAACACUCAAAAUUUGUGGCUAACUAGAAUAACACAAAUUUGGUAUAAAAUGACCAAAAGCCCAUUUCGUUUUCAUUUCAGUGUUAAAAAAAACAUAUAAAAUUAAAUUAAAAUUAAUAAAUAAAGAAAACAUUUGUCUUCUUUCUACCCUAAUCUCUCGACUUCAAUUGUUUUUUACAGCCGACGACACAAACAAAGAAAAAACAAGUCAAGACUUCUCACAUUGAACUCCACUUCUCCGUCGCAUAUCUCGCCACCGCCGAUUAGAGGAGAGUAGCCAUAAACGCCAGUGCUCCUUCUCUGGAGAAUCUGCCGUCAAUUUCAGCGUUCGGCGACGCUAGAGUCUCCGGCGGUUUUCAUUCUCCGGAGGUUCUUUAAAUUUCCGGCGUUCGGCCCUUCCACGUCGACCCGUCAUCUGCUUUGCGAGUGCUUCUUCCUCUAAUCCUCUCCUCUUGUCACUGUUUCCUUCCUUCCUCCAUUAACGACAUUAUCCUUCUCAAUUGACAAUCCGUGAGUUUAAUUUCUACUCCCAUGGUUGAAAAUUGGUUUUUGAUUUGCAAUUGAGAUUGAUUUUGAAAGUAAUCUAAUGAUUUAUUGGUUCUUUGUUUGCCAACAUCGCAUCGAGGAGAGCAGCUACAGACGUCGUUGAUUCAUCAAUUGGUUUUAUUUCUCGUCUUCGUCUUUCUUCACACAGUCUCAAUUUAGACAAUUGGUGUGUUUUCUUGUUCGAUUCUUAAAAACAAAAAAAAAACUCUCUUUCAAUUUUCAAUAAUUAAUUUUGAUUGGCACUUCUUUUGUUUGUUGCAGAUCUCAUUCGUCAAUAUAAUUUGUGGCCAAAUUCAUAGAAUUCUAAGAUUCUUCAUUAUUCAGGUACGGAUUGUGGUCUAACGCACUAUGCACAAUGAUGUCACCUUAAUCCAAUAAUGUUUUUAGUCUUUGGUCUCCUUUUACGUUUUAUAUUUCUAAAGAUAAUGCCCUUCCUUCCUUGUUUGAAUUCCUUUACGUCUUUUAAUUGUUUUGGACUUUUGCUCACAUGUUAACAACAUUCUCUUAAAUUCUGCUAUUUUGAAUCUCAAUUGUUAAUUAAAUUUUAGUUUGCUCACAUAUUAACAACAUACGCUACAGAUUAAUGUUAUAUUUGUGUGUAUUGUUUGUGGAAGCUUCUUUUGCCAUUGGAUUAGUAUGAGUUAUCACAUGUUUUCUUUUCCAUUGUUUAGAAAAUCUUCUAUUAGUUGAUUGAUUUAUUGCUCAUUUUAUUUGGUGUUUUGUUUUAUUUUUUGUCUGUUUAGCAAUGGCGUCUUCGAGUAAUGUCUCCAAAUAUGCUAUUAGUUUAUUAGCUGAAUCUAUUGAUCUUGAAAUGAAAAAUGAUCGUUAUAGCCACUUUUAUUGUGAUCCAAUAUUAGAGAUUUGGUGACAGCUUUUUGGAUUAAUUCAUUUGGUUUUAAUUUGUUUUGCAUCAGAUUUGUUUUAAACUAUAUAUUAGCUGAUUGUAUUAAUGCUCUUACAUGCUGAUUUAUUAUUUUGAUAAUCUUCAGGAAUGACGUCUUCGAGUAAUGUCUUCAAAUAUCCUCCUCGUCUAUAUGCAGAAGGAAAAUCACCUUUGCAACAUAGAAGCAUGAACCACAAUUGUUAUCUGUCCAAGAAUGGUCUCAUCAGAGAAGGAUUAGGUCUUGAUGUGUGGGAUGAAUUGGAGAAACCAUCACUAGGUGUGUUUAUUAAGCUAGCAGAACUAGAGUACACAUGGGCUGCCAAGAAAGUACAUCUUUGCAGGGUCGUCUCUGUUUCAGUAUCACGAUUACGAUUUUGUUUUUCGUGUAGGUAUAUGACAUUGUGAUUCUGUAUUGAUUUUUAUCCCGUUCAUGAUACUAAUCUCAUACGUACGGAACCAAAAUCAAUAAGGUGCAAUAGUAUAAAUCCAACGGAAGUGAACCAAUAAAUCGUCAAGCAGAAAAUGCUAGAACAAACAAAUGUAACAAGAUGAAACUUAUCAAUAUAACACAUCGUAAUAGUUCAUCACAAAGGACAUAACAAGAAAAUAAAAAAAAGAUGUCUAUGAAGGGCAUGUCUUACGAUUAUGUCCUACUUGAUUGCAUUUACCACAAGUGUAUUGUUUCUUUGGUUUUUUCUUUUCCAUCACAAUCUCCAACGCAGAUUUAAUUCAUAGAUCCAACUACCACAUACGAGAAUCAUCUGAUCCAUAUCCAAUCCAUUGCCUUUGCUGUGUGACAUUGUUUUUCUCUAAACCCAGACACGAGAACAGAAGAACCCAAAAUCGAGAGAAAAAACUCAAAAAAAUACGUAAUUUGCUUAACCCCAAUAGGAAAAAAAUGAUGAAAUCGAAAGAAACCCCAAAAGGAUAAAACCUAACAGCUCCACGUUUGAGAAAAGAAAACAAUGAAGGCCACGUUUUUUUCACAAAAACCCUAGAUGUCGACAUUUAAUGUUUUAGUGGUAAAUAUGGUAACUGCUCUAAUAAGUCUGUCAUUACAAUUAAAAAAAAAAAAAAACUGUCACCACUGUAAAUAUUAUUAUAGGAAAAAAAUCUGUCAAAAAAAAAAAAAACCUGUCAUGAAAGGGUUUCAUAAUUACAAAUCUGUCGCAACAUACAACAUUAUAAGGUCAUUCUAGCAAUUCUUUCAUUAAUUUAACAAAUCUGCCAUCAAACGACAGAUUUGUGGUAAUAUAAUUUAAUCUGUCAUAACAUAAAACAAGUCUGUCAUAACAAAAAAAGAUUAUAUUUUGAAAACAAAUCUGUUGUAACACGAUAGAUUUAUGGUAACAUUAUAAAAAUCUGUCAUAACAUAGAACAAAUCUGCUACCAUUAGAGGUCAAUCUAGUAAUUAAUUUUAAGUCAGCAAAUCUGUCACAACAUGACAGUUUUUUUUCGAAAAUAAUAAAUAUGCCGCUUCUUACAAAUUAAAUCAGCCAGACAUUACAAUAAGUCUGUCACAAAUUGUUCAAGUCUGUCACAAAUUGUUCAAGUAUGUGAUUGAAUGAAAAAAAAUCUGUCAAGGAAAACAAAUCUGCUAAAAUUUUGUAAGUCUGUCGUAACCAUAAUCUAAGAAAUCUGUCAAGUAGAUAACAGAUUUUUCUAAAAUUGCUGGAAGUUUUUAUGUAGGGUAUUUUUGUAUUAUUUUUUUUUUUUUACACAUGAGACAAAGGUAUUUUAGGUAUGAAAAUAACUCAUUUAACCCCAAAUUAUUUGUGAGUCAAUCUAGUAAUAAAACUCAAAAUUUGGGUUAAUCUAGUAACUCUCCCUAGAUAUUAUGUUAGGAAAAAUCUUUAUAUUUGCAACAUUAAAUUAAUAUCUAGAUAUUAUAGUAUGAUAGAGCUUAAGAUAAAGAACAUAUAUCUAGAUACUUUUAUAGUUUGGGAGCAAAUAUCUUUUCAUCUACUCAUUUGCAAUUAGAUAGAAAAAAAGUAGAAAAUAUAGAAAAAGUGAAUCAAAGCAGAUUGAUAAUUAAAAGAAUAUUCUAUAUUCGUAAGUUCUCUCAAUUAUGUUCUAAAUUUUCCAACGUUUCUCACAUUUUCUUCAUAACCAAUCCAAUGCAUUUGGGAAUUGUGUAACUCACCAUAAUUUAAUUGGGCUUAAUGAAUAUUGUGGGUUUAUAAACAUUAAUGGGCUUGUUGAAUAAAAAACAUUAAUGGGCUUUCUAGGAGAAAUGGAGCCUCUUAACGCUGAGAGACUCGUAAACCCUAAUAUAUAAACAACGAAACCAAUUCAUUCUCACUGUCGUCUCCUCUUGAGCAUCGUCUUCCUCUUAAGCAGCUUCCCUACUCGCCGAUCGUUGCUCCGUUGAAAUCACCAUGGUUACUCUCUCUCACUCUCGAUCCGUCUAUCUCUAUCGCUUUGUUUCUCUUCUCGAGAUUAUCUAAUUUUUGAAAUGUUGUUUGUUUUCAGGCGCCAAAGAAGGAUAAGGUUCCACCGCCGUCAUCGAAGCCGGCGAAAUCCGGAGGUGGAAAACAGAAGAAGAAGGUCCGUUUCCUCCAUUUUAAGCUACUUUUAAUGUCGAUUUUGAAGCAACAAAAUGCUUCAACUCUCUGUUUAUGUCUAGAGUUUUGAGAAAUUGAUUUAGGUUUCGUAGAUUGAUUUAGGUUUAAUAUGAAUUUGGCUGAAGAUUUAGGUUUCUAUUUGCUCUGAUAUGAUACAAAGUCUCUCGAGAGAGUAUUGAUUUGAGUUAGCUUUGGUUAUGUGUAUACAUUUGUCUUGCUUUGUGUGAUAUGUUGCAUUCUUCAUGCUUUUGGUGCUUAAUUGUUUUCUUGUUUCGAUGAAUUGUUUGUUAAACAAAACAGAAGUGGAGCAAGGGAAAGCAAAAGGAGAAGGUUAACAACAUGGUUUUGUUUGAUCAAGGCACUUAUGACAAGCUUCUCACUGAAGCUCCCAAGUUCAAGCUUAUCACUCCGUCGAUACUCUCCGACCGUAUGAGGGUAUAUACAAUCUUUAUAUCACUAUUGCAUUCUUAGAAACUGCAUGGUUUGUGUUAGUUUGAUGUUGUUAGUCUCUGACAUUGUUAUGGUUUGAAUUGUGGAAAAUCAGAUUAAUGGGUCUCUUGCGAGGAGAGCCAUAAGGGAGCUAAUGGCGAAGGGUUUGAUCAGGAUGGUCUCUGCUCACUCGAGCCAGCAGAUCUACACUCGUGCCACCAACACCUAAAAAGCUUGACUUUUUCAAUGGUUUGGUUCUCGACUCUCAUCUUGGUUUUUGUCUUUUGUUGUAUACAUUAAUCAUCAGAACUCUUAUAGUUCUUUUUUGGUUCUCGUUACUCCUUUGUACUCCAGAACCUCUUUAGAAUGUUGUUUUGAGAUAUUAUGUCAAUUUAAAUCGGAGUUGGUUUCUAUUUUUUCCUUUUCAAAAGUCUAUCUAAAUUCCUGAGUUGAAUUAUUCCAAGCCAAUCAAUAAAAUACAAGCAAGGAAAGGAAUCAAGGCAAGCCAGGCAAGCAGAACAAACCUAUAUAUGAAUAACAAGGUGAAAGAGCUCAGUCUCGUGGUUAACAGUCACCCAUCUAUUCCUAGUUAGGGAUCAAAAAGGGACAUAGAGUAUCAAUUUAUAUCUGAAUCAGUAUUGAUUCGUUCAUUAUUAUUGAUAUAAAGUAGAUUUAGAAGAACUAAUUUGCUAUCAUCAUACUAUCUUUACUCUUUAUCGUAUUAGUCACAUUUGUAACAUCAUCAGUAUCAUCAACAUUUCAUUAUACCAUCGUCAAUAUACACAGAGAACAAGACUUUAUGGGUUCUAUUGGGUUUACAAUAUUAUUUUCAUUGAUCCUUUAAUCUUGUAAGAUUAGCAUAUCCAAUCCCUCAAACUACUUGAGAUAUUGUUUGAUAAAUGAGUUGGUUCGUUAAAUGAAUUUUGUUUGUUGGAAAGAAAAGAUAUUUUAAGUUGCGUUUGAGUCCAUACAAAUGGUUUCUACGACAAUUUUGCGGCCGUAAAAUUAGUUUUUUUUUUUUUUUGUUUUUUUUGAUCAAAAGCCAUAAAAUUUGUUUAACUCCAAUAAAAAACAAGGAAUUCCAAUAUAACUGAGCAUCAAUCAAACUUCACUACUUUUGAGUCAUACUAAUGGUUACAAAAAACGUCACUUUCUCACACAUGACAUUACACAUGAUAGGUGUUUUAGAUAUUUGUUCUUGUACCUUUCUAUAGACAACCCUGACCGUCGAAAAUCAUCACUUUGUAACUUAUUUGUUCUUGUAUAUAAAUUAAGUAAAAAAGGUAGUGAUAAACCCAUGUAAUCUAAUGGUUGUAAUGGUUUUCUUUGUUUAUUGUUUUUUCCCACUCAUCUAUUAUUUCAAACGUGGAAAUUAUAAAACCUCCUGUUAAAAAUAUUUUGAUUAUAUUAUAUAAAUAAAAAUAAUCAGUUCUCUAAAUGUUUUAUAUUACUUUUAAAAAGUAAAAAUGUUUUUGAAUUAAUAGAAAGAAAAACAUUUGGUUUAUUCAUAUUUAAAUAAAACACAACAGAACGUCUGUUAGAUGAAUAUGUAUGGACCAAGGGAUUCAACGUGUCUAUGUUGCAGUAGAGAAAGAGUAUGGGAGAAACCAGAGCCGUCCGUUUAUUGUAACAGUCACAUGACUCACAUCACAUCAUUAUGAUCUUCUCAAUAUUUUUUCUUCUGAAAUCUUUUUUUUUCAAAUUUAUAAAGUAUUUAAAAGAGUGUAAAACAAAUGAAAAUAUAAAAUUUUCUUUUGUCUUUUUGCUUAUAAUUUUUAUCAAUUAUGUUUUUCUCUUCUUGCACGUUUGAUUUAUUAACAUAUAUAUAUUUUUUUAUAAACUCUCUCUAUUUCACAAAAAAUAUCGUUUUGAAAUUUUAUUUUUUCAUAAGAACGUUGUCCUACAUUUCCAAUAAUUUUUUAACUAAUUCCUAAUUUACCUUUAACCCAAAAUUACUUUUCUUUUGAAUUUAAUUCAUUAUGUUUUAUUCAGUCACUUAUUAAAUAUAUUAUAUAUAAAAUUUUCUAUAUUAUUAUAUGCAAUUUUUUUACCAAACUAGUCAGAAUUUACUAAUGUGAAUGAAAGAUUUAGGGGUGGGCAUUCGGGUAUGCGGGUUGGGUUCGGGUAAAACCCGAUCGGGUACGGGUCUUUCGGGUAGAGGAGUUUAGGACCCAAUAGGAUAAAUCUAAAAUAUCGGUUCGGUUUCGGUUCGGGUCUAAUCGGGUUCGGGUCGGUUCGGGUUUAGAUUUUUAGAACCGCUAAAUACCCGAAAAAAUCGGGCACCCAUCGGGUUCGGGUAUUUUAUACCCAAAUACCCAAAAUUUUACCAAAUACCCGAAUUUUACCCGAAAUUUUACUCUAAUAUCCGACUUUUAUCCGCAAUUUUACUCAAAUAUCCAAGUUUCACCCAAAAAUUUAUCCGAAUAACCGGAAUUUUGUCCAAAUAUUUAAAAAAUUUACAAGCAUCUCGCGUAUAAAUAUAUUUAGUCUUAAAUAUAUAAAUAUAAGUGCAUUUAAUUUUUGGUAAUUACUCUCGGAUAUUUGGAUAUAAAUGUAUUUAGCUCAAAUAUUACAUAUAUAUAAAGUUUUUAUAUGUAUAAGUAUAAGUAAUUUCGGGUAAUCGGGUACCCGUUCGGGUAUCGGGUUCGGAUCGGGUUUUACCCUAUACCCACGGGUACGACAAUACAAGACCCAAUAGGGUAAAUAGCUAAUACCCGUACCCGCCCCGAACCGGUUUUUUCGGGUCGGUUUCGGUUCGGGUACUCGGGUACGGUUUUUUUGCCCAGGCCUAGAAAGAUUCGAUAUAUAGAAGUAACUGAGAUCAGUUCUACACAAUUGAAAUUGUCUCAAGAGAGGAGAUUACAAACACAGACACAAACAGAAACACAAUUUUAAAAAUAAAUUGGCCAAAGAGAGAAAAUAAGUAUACUUUCUCGUGGAGGGAUCACAGGACCAAAAACCAGAAAAAGUAACAGCUUCCACCGUCAACCACGCACUGUUUCAGUCUUCUUCUCCUUCCAUUUCAAACGAACAACAAACAUUUUAAUCAAAAUCAUUAAAAAGUGUUAAACUUUCUGGUAAGUUAUUAAUACUCUCUGCUAAUGAUGCUGUUUAUGGUCGUAAUGGUUUUCUAGCUAUCUGGGUGUUUAAAUUUCGAAUACAAAUUCCUAGAUCUUCUUCUUCUAUCUGGAUCGUUGUUUUUAGCUUCUGAACAUGAAAAAGUUUCUGUCUUUUGAGGUUUCUCGAUUUUGCUUUCUUUGGGUUUAGUAGUUUUUAACCAAUGUGCACUAAGAAAAUAAUUCAUUUUUAUGAUGUUUUCUUUGGUUUGAUGAUGAAAAAUUGAAACUUUAUUCUACUUCUUAGUAUCUAUCUUCCGGCUUAUUUAAAGUUAAUGAUCCUUCAAGCCUAAUGGAGAUUGGUACUACUCAUAAAACCAUUAGUAAGUUUGAAACUUCCAAGAGUUUUUGUGUUUUGAGACGAUGAGAUUUUUGAGAGUUUCAGGGAUCUAUGUUUGUGAAUCAUCUGGGUUUCUGGAAAGUUUGUAGCUUUCGAGGAUUUAUCUAUUGGGUACUCUCAAGAAAUGUUUUUCAGGAUUUCUCUGGUCGGUUUCACUUUAACACUUUGCUUAGAUUUGAACAAUGGGUUUGGAUUAUUCUAUUACUAUUUUCAUUAUAUUAUUAAGUAGAUAGAAACUGUAACGCUUUGUGUAUUAUUCACUUUACUUGAAGCUUUUAUUAUUCUUCUGCGCUAAUUCGUAUCUGCUAUUAACUUUCCGAGGUUUCUGUUGUUUAUUUUUGGGUUUUUGCAGCUAAAAAGAUGGAUUCUUCUUACUACUUUGCCUUGGGGACAAGUAGUUCUAUUCUGCCAAAACUCUGUUUCAAGAAUGUGGAGAUCAGAUUUUGGGGUGAGAAGAUCAACAACAAUGGUUUCUUUAAACGUUCUAAAUCAGAUUUGGACUCCAAGAAUCGAAAGUUCAAGCGCAGUGUUGUUUACGCUGUUGCCACUUCGAAUAAUCCAAAAAAGGCUAUGGUACGUUGAUCAGUUUACUCUUUUCUCUCUUGCUUAAAUGGCAUUAGGCUUGCUUUGUGUCGCUCAGAUUCAGCGGUACCUUCGAUAACUUUCUUAAGACUUGCCUCAAGAAGACUGCUUAAUCGGAAAAGUCCAGAGUUCUUGAUUCUGUUUGCUUUGUUUUUUCAGACUGUAAAGCCUUCCAUGUUUGAGAGAAGAAAGGCAGACCCGCAAAACGUGGCUGCAAUCAUUCUAGGAGGAGGUAAUGGAGCUAAACUCUUCCCUCUUACAAUGAGAGCCGCAACACCAGCUGUAAGUAUUCAUCUUUCUUUGUUUCCUCUUUCUGAAAAACCAAAACUGUAAAUAACAUUCAUGGAGAUUUAGGACCUCAAGGGUCUUAUCUAUAAAACAAUGUUUUUGUGUAAUGAGGAUUCUUGUGUCUUCAAAUUAUGUUAGGUUCCUGUUGGUGGAUGCUACAGGCUGAUCGAUAUUCCGAUGAGUAACUGCAUUAACAGCUGCAUCAACAAGAUCUUUGUGCUGACACAAUUCAACUCUGCUUCCCUCAACCGACAUUUAGCACGCACUUAUUUUGGGAAUGGCAUAAACUUCGGAGGUGGUUUCGUAGAGGUAUAAACACUAUGACAGUUUAAACAUUCAGCUUUCUUGAAUUUUCGAGGAACAAAGCAAAAGUAAAAUCUUAUUGAAUAGGUUCUUGCUGCAACACAAACACCGGGGGAAGCUGGGAAAAUGUGGUUUCAAGGAACAGCAGAUGCUGUCAGAAAAUUCCUCUGGGUGUUUGAGGUAUGAACUUAUGAUCACUUUUUUACUGGUUUAUUAUGUCAGUUCCUUUGUGAUCUUUGAAGUAGUCUAAAAGCUGUUGAUGUCUUAAAAACUAGGAUGCCAAGAACAGGAACAUUGAGAACAUACUUAUUUUGUCUGGAGAUCAUCUCUAUAGAAUGAACUACAUGGACUUUGUUCAGGUAAUAUAUCUAAAUCUAAACAGAUCUGUUCUUCAUCAUCUUAAACCUCUUUAAAGUUGCACUAACUCAGUGUGUUGUAAUAGUCUCAUGUCGAUAGUAAUGCGGAUAUUACUCUUUCAUGUGCACCAGUCAGUGAAAGGUUAGUAUCUUGAAUCUCGUUACGUCUUUUCUAUGAGAAAUCUCCGUUCUUGAAACCAUUUUUUUUUGUGAAUUCUUUAGCCGCGCAUCGAAUUUUGGUCUAGUGAAGAUUGAUAGAGGUGGGCGUGUAAUCCAUUUCUCCGAGAAACCAACGGGAGUCGAUCUGAAAUCAAUGGUAUAGUUUUCUAUGAUUCUUAAAACAAAUCAACUUCUUAAAGUCAUAAAGCAUUUCAAAAACUUGAAACUUUUCUCUUUGGUUUUUACAGCAAACAGACACAACAAUGCUUGGACUGUCUCAUCAAGAAGCAACAGAUUCUCCAUACAUUGCAUCUAUGGGAGUUUAUUGUUUCAAAACCGAAGCUUUGCUGAACCUUCUAACAAGACAGUAUCCGAGUUCCAAUGACUUUGGAUCUGAAGUUAUUCCUGCAGCCAUAAGAGAUCACGAUGUUCAAGUAAGAUUUUAGAAAACUCGUGUCUUGUUUUUCUUUAUCCGUUGUACACAACGAAUGAUCUAACAGUUUUGUAUUGUUUUUUGUCAGGGAUACAUAUUCCGAGAUUACUGGGAGGAUAUUGGAACUAUAAAGACAUUUUAUGAGGCUAAUUUAGCUCUUGUUGAGGAGGUAAGAAGCAUUACUCCAGUCUUUCACCUUAUUAUGACGUUCUUGGAUACAUUUUUCUCAACUUUUUUGUUUCUUGAUCUUGUUCUCCAGCGACCAAAGUUUGAAUUCUAUGAUCCAGACACUCCGUUCUACACUUCUCCUCGGUUCCUCCCACCAACCAAAGCUGAGAAAUGUCGCGUAUGUGUCAAAACAUCUUUUUCUUUAUGGUUGUUUCUUUGAUUCCAGUUGCUAAUUAUUUAGUAUGGUUCUGUUUUGAUGAUUUUGUAGAUGGUAGAUUCGAUAAUCUCACACGGAUGUUUCCUGCGAGAAUGCAGCAUCCAACGUUCCAUCAUUGGUGAACGGUCACGUCUAGACUAUGGAGUUGAGCUUCAGGUGAAUCUUCAAUCUCUUCACUUUGAUCUAAAACAAUCGAAAUUAUUUUAACUUUGUUGCGAUCAAAUUGAGCUUGGUUUUCUUUCUUUUCAAAGGAUACAUUGAUGUUAGGUGCAGAUUACUACCAAACUGAAUCUGAAAUUGCAUCUCUAUUAGCAGAAGGAAAGGUUCCAAUUGGCAUUGGUAGAGACACAAAGGUCAGGUAAGUUUUGAGAAAACACAUAACAUACAAACAAAACCCUCUUCAAAUGGAUUUGUCUGAAACAACAAGAGUGUUUUUUCUUCCUGGUGAGUUUAUAGGAAAUGCAUCAUUGACAAGAAUGCCAAGAUCGGUAAAAACGUGAUCAUCAUGAACAAAGGCGUAAGCUUUUCGUGAAUUUCUUCUCCCUCAGAUUUUCAACUGUUGAAGAAAGAUCAAAUCUUAAAGACCUUAUGUCUCCAUGUUUUCAGGAUGUACAAGAAGCAGAUAGGCCAGAGGAAGGAUUCUACAUUCGAUUGGGAAUCACUGUGAUAGUCGAAAAGGCGACAAUUCAAGACGGUACUGUAAUAUGAAUGGAGCUUGAAAGCUGCAAUCUUGUAAGUCCACCUAGCAACAAUCUUGCUGGAGAUUAAAAAGAGAAAGCUUCCAUCAUUGUACAAUUAGAAGAGCUCAAGUUUAGUAUAACUAGAGAUAGAGAUAUAGAGAACAAAUAAGAACACAGUGAAGUCUUGAUCAGUGCUCCGGCGACGGAAGACUGAUCGGCCGAUCUCUCCCUCUCUUAUCAUCUUUUGUAUUUAGAACCUUUGAUGAUUCUCUUUGUAUUAUUCAAAAAAAUAAGCAAUUUAUCUCCUGUCUUUGUGUCACCACCAUCCACAUUCAAACUACAUACCACAAAUAAUAAUCAAACUUUUGUUAAAAUUUAAAAUACUAAAAUAUCAUCAUAAUAUACUAAUAAUUUCUAAAAUCAUUGAGUGAAUAACAACAGAUUUUGACACCAAUUAUAAAUUGGUAAAUCCAACAUAAUAAUGAUGAUUUUGAUUGAGUUUUUUAGUUAAUCAAAUGUGAGAUUAUGGGUUAAAAGUGUGAAAAAAUAAUAUUAAGGGGUGAAUGUGAAAAUAAAAUAAAAUGUGGGCUUACAUCGAACAAAACAUUUAAUUGGUGGCUCAUGCGUAGUUUAUUUAUUAUAUAAGAAUACCCACAAGGAAAUUUCAUUUAAUUAAUUUCAAAAAAAAAAAAAAACGGAGUCUUGUGAAAUUGAGCGUCGUCGUCGUCCUUAGCCUUAGCCAGAUCUGCAUCUUUUUCGCUGGCGUCGUCGAGAUCUCUGUCGUAUUGAAGAAGCUAUUCAAUCUUUCUUCACCAUCCGUAAGUCCUUUUCAGAAGCUUCUCUAAUGCUUGAUCUUCCAUUUUUCUUCUUCCGAUUGAUUCUCUCCUCGCACUCCUUCUCGUUGUUUUAAUGCUGCUUUCGACGAAUUUGGUGAUUUAUUGGGAACGAUUCAGUUCCGAUUCCAGAUCUGACUCUUGCGAUAUGUUGAAAUCCGAAAGAGAUAGAGAAGAAUUUCAUUAUCCGUUUGUUGUGUUUAGGGUUUUGGGAUUAACUAGUGAGAUUGUUUAGCUAAGAGAUGAUUAAUGGCGUUCUCUUGAUUGUUUUUUUGCUUAACAAGUUGAGAAAUCGAAGCUAGGGUUAUUUGUUCUGUACUUAAUAGGUAAGAUCUCUGAGUAGAUCUUCAUUUUCGUGCUCAUUUCUAGGUUGCAAGAAUCACAAUGGAUGGAAGUGGUGGUGACAGUGGUUCGAUGGCUACACCUGUACAAAAGAAGGUACAUGAGGCAUGGAGGGUUUACCAAUAUUAUCUGGACAAGACUACUCCUCAUUCAACUAACAGGUGGAUCGGAACACUUGUCGUCUUUCUUAUCUACUGUUUGAGGGUUUACUCCAUUCAGGGAUUCUAUAUCAUCUCCUAUGGUCUUGGAAUCUACCUCCUGAAUCUGCUUAUCGGGUUCUUGUCCCCUCUUGUUGAUCCUGAGCUCGAAGUCACUGAUGGAGCUACUCUCCCUACUCGAGGUUCUGAUGAGUUCAAGCCAUUUAUCCGUCGACUGCCAGAGUUUAAAUUCUGGUACCCUUUUGCCUGUCUCCUUACAACUUAUCAGUGUUCAAGAAAGCGCUAGGCGCUAAGCGGGCGGUGACCCAAUGCCUAGCGCCUAGAACGCCUAAUCGAAGCCUAGGCGAUUUUUUAGGCGGUUUAGACGUUUAUAACAUAAAACAUAAUAAAUAUAAUAUCAUAUAUAAAAUUUAUAUAAAAUAUCUAAUAAAACAAAAAAUUAUGAAAUUAUAAACAAAAACUAGAUAAAACAUUUAAUUGAUUUUAUAUAUUAAACAAUAUAUGAAUAUUUAUAACUAUAUAUAUAUAUAUAUAAAUAAAACUCUAAUUGAAAUUGAAAAAAUACAUUAAACAAGAUCUAUGUAAUUUUAGACGGUCAAGGCGGUUAUCUAGGCGUCGCAUGAGAGCCUAGCGCCUAGUCGGGGCCUAGGCGACCGCCUAGACCGCUUUUUAGAACACUGCAACUUAUGCUUUCAAUUAUGUUGUUGGAUUAUCGUCAUUGCAUAUCAUGUUCUUUGUGAUAAGUCAUAUUUAAAAUUCUAUUAGCAUUCAGGUGGUUUACCAUAUACCAUCUUUUUAACCAAGUGUGCUGGUAAUGCUUGUGUUGCAGCGCCAUAUUCAAUUUUGUUUUCUGUUCCUUAUAUGCUCAUCGGGAUUGAAUGACAUAAUGUAUAAACACUAUGCUCUUAGUUAUAUAUAAUUGCUCAGUUUUUUUUGUCCUAAUAUCUUCCUGAAUGAUACAUCCAGGAAGAAACACUUGGUCAUUGUCAUAACUCUACACAUAAGAACACGGUAGCUUCUUUUCUUUUCAGUGACAAUUGGAUUGAAUCUCUGACAGGUACUCCAUGACUAAGGCAUUCUGCAUAGCAUUUCUCAUGACAUUCUUCUCGGUCUUUGACGUUCCUGUCUUCUGGCCUAUAUUGCUUUGCUACUGGGUUGUUCUCUUUGUCCUCACCAUGAGACGCCAAAUCGCCCACAUGAUCAAGCACAAGUACAUUCCUUUCAGCAUCGGAAAACAGGUAAUCUGUUCUUACAACUUUGAUCUUUUAGUUUUAUCUUGUAUACAAAAACCCCAUGUCUAGUCAUCUUAAUUUACUCUUCUAUGAGUCAAUAAAAUCCUGCCCACUUCUCUACAAAGUCAACAUUCAUAUUACAAUACAGGGUUUGAGUUUAGAGUUACUAAUAUAUCUGAAAUUUUGAUAUGUGUGGCAGAAAUAUAGUGGCCGGAGAUCUUCUGCGAGCAGCAGCGGCGGCUCUCGUGCUGAUUGAUUUCGAUUGUCAGCCACAUUUUCUGCAGAAGAAAGAAAAAGGAUAGGUUUUAAACCACUUUGGAAUGUUUUGUAGUGAUGGUUUUAAUCAAAUUGCUAGAAUUGUUAUGCAGCUACAAGGAAGAAGAAGGGAAAAAAAAAAAUGGUGAUUAGUUUAAAUUUGUUUCUUCUAUGUUGCAGAAAAAUUGUUCUUUGUUCGUUCCCUUUUAAACCCAAGUACCCUCUUCUGUAAAUAUGAUUUAUUUUUAUUUUACAACACAUUCAUUCUUUUUUUCUUUUAUGUUUGCUUUUAAAUACCUUUCAUUUGUAUCAUCAAUUUGAUCAUUUCUUGAAUUUAAUUAUUCAAGCAAAAAGAUUCAACGAGUUCUACGAAUCGUAUGAAUUUUGGUGUUGUUCAUACGAAAUUAUCAAUCACGUGAUGGUCUCUCGAGAAGUCGACAAAACUCUUUGUUAGAACAAAAAGAACUGUUUGAUGAACAAUAACUAUUUUUUUUUUUUUUUGGCACACGAACAAUAACUAUUCUUAACAGAUCCUUUUUCAUGAGGCGGAAUGAAAAAUUUGGUGGUCAUGGAAGUUUUCUUACAAAAUGUAUAUAAUACACUUGGACUCUAGCUCUUUCGAGUUGCGGCAAUAUCGCAAGAUUCCAAACUUUGCGGUUCGGAAUUGAUGUUUCUUCUUCGAGCAAUAUCGCAAGAUUCCAAAUUUUGCAGUUUUUCUUUGUCGUGUUUUCUCUUGUAUUCGUGGAUACUUAGUUUUAGUUUUUGGUUUCUAUGUCUCUUUUGUUAUCUUUGUAUUCGCGGUCGAAAAAUUGAAAAUUGUAUAAAAUACUUGAUACCAAAAAAAAGGUGUAUUAUAUACGUGUUUUGUUAAUUAUAUACAUUACAUCAAUAAAAAUAUUACACACAAUUAAUUACAAGCGAUAUGUCUAAAGGAUUUAAAUAAGAACAAAAAAAGAAGAAAAAAUAUUAAUUAAUGGAAUUAUUAAUUUAUUUAUAUAUUUUCGGGUUUAUUUGGGACCAUUUUUUGAAGUGGGAAGGGGCAGGUCGGAGCCAGUCUUUGCCGCCGAUAAAGUCCUUGCUCAAGAAGACGGUAGCUUCGUCGUCGGAUAAUUGUUUUGACCAUUUUACUCUUUGUCCCCUGUCUGCUCCGGGACCGUAACAUUUGUAUUCACCAUAAUAUACGGUACUGAACAAUUAUUAAAAGAAAAAAUUAGUGUACAUUAGUCAAAAAUAUUUAUAAGAAUUAAACCACAAACCAAAAGGUAAAAUGUUAGUACUUUUCUUUGGUUGAAUCUCCCCAUUGGUUCCACCCUCGAGGUGCGACGACAUUGGAGAAGAAGGAAUAAGCAAAGAUAACCCUAGAAUAAGGUCCCCAUGGCCUUCCCAAAUACGUGGAACUGGAUCCGGUUAACUUGCAUCCCAAGAAUAUAAACCCUGAUUUCUCCGUCGCCGACGUUCUCAUUUGCGCCGUUAUAGACCCUUUAGUCGGUGACAACGAGUGUAGAUGACAUCUCUACAAGUGAAACCAGGAACAAAGAAAAUUAAGGUUUAUGUUUAAAGAUGAGAAAGUUAACUCUUAUCUAUAAAUGGAACAUGUUAAUUUUUUCCUCUAAGAGCAUGCAUCCCAAAAAUAAUGGAAUUAACAACAACUCUAAUCAAUCGGAUCCUUAAUCUUUUGAAAAUUAGAAUAAAGUGAAAUGUAAUCAUUAUUAUGUUAAGAUUAUUACUUUUAAUGGAACUAAUUAUGUAAAAUGAGUUAGUAUUUACUUCAUAGAGAGAAGAAGCGCUUCCACAAAUGAAAUCGGUGGCUCCUUCAAUAUAGCAGUUCUUGAAGUAAUGGUUUCCAUUGUCGUCAAGGAGAGUGUCUUGGUACGAUGUUAUCACGCAUCCAUAGAACGCUGCCUUAUCCGCUGCCACCCGCAGUGCAACCGCCCGUCCCGCCGUUCCAAGCUUAUUCUACUUACAACAAAACAAAACACGCCACAAGUAAUGAUAUUUUCGUAUUCUACAUUGGAAUUGAAUUUUAAAACAUGCAUAUAUACGAUGUAUAUAUGAGACGAAGAUUAACCUGAAUAGUGAGAAAUCGACAUACGAAAUCGGUGGCAAAUAUUGUGAGAGUGGGUGAUUCCAAAAUGUCUCCACCAUCGCUCCAUAUGAGAAAGGUGUUGGAAGCUUGUGUUCCACUCAAUGUUAUGUAGGGUUUAUCCGCAGGAAUCACCACCUUUUCUCUGUUUUCAAUCAAAUCGCUAAAUAACAUUAAUAAAACUAUACUUAAACAUGGAAUCUAAUCAAGCAUAGAAUUAACUUUUCAUGGAUAAUAUAUAUUUUGCAAAAAUGAAUAUACAAAUAUAAUUCUAUAUAUGUCGAAGCCUAAUACCGAAUAACCAGCUGAUAAAAGGACAACCAUAUCAACAAAACCUAUAUAACUUCGGAAGAAUUGUGAAUAGCUUAAUUUUUUACAUGAAAAUUAAGAGAUAGUUUAAGUUUUUUAUAUGUUUAUAAAUAAUCUAACUCUAAACUCCAAUACUAAAUACUUAAACCCUUAACCAUCAAUCUUAAACCCUAACCCUUAAGACUUAAAUAUAAUCCUACCGGUAAAUUCCAGGCUUAACCCAAAUGUAAUAGAGUUGAGAGUUGUUUAGAUUGGGAGGGAUAGAUUCUAUUGCUUCUUGAAUCUUACUGAAGUCUCCUUUGCCCGAUUGAUCAACCCUUAUUAGAAUUGCAGUAGAAAAAUCAAUGGAAGACGAAGAAGAAUUAGAAGAAGCCAUGGAUGAAAAUGUGAUUGAAGAGAGAAUGAAAAUAUUGAUGAGUAUGAUAUGAUAAUAGUUAGCAAUUGAACGUUUGGACUUUGUUUUAUAAAGACCCAUCUUGGCAUAACCCAUGUGAGGUUUCACGUCUUGGCGAUUGUGCAGAUGUCAAAAAAAAAAAAAAAACAAAUACAAAAUAGAAAUCAAGAAUGAAAAUUAUUGAAUUCAAUUGGUGAAGAAAGAGUGUGAGAAUUAGAAUUUUGAAAAGUUUGGUUUGCACAUAAAGGAGAUUAUAUAUAUAUAUAUAUAUAUAUAUAUAUAUAUAUAUAUAUAUAUAUAUAUAUAUAUAUAUAUAUAUUAUUUUAUAAUAUUAAGUAUGGUUUUUAAAGUUAGUAACUCAUAAAAUUGUGUCAUGUGUCAAGUCUAUUGAUCAGAUGUUGACAUGUGUUAGAAAAGAGUUAAUUUUUUUUUUCUUUAAAGAAAUAGAAAAACUAAAAUAGGAAAUAAAUUUAUAUAUACUAAUUUAUAUGUCUAUAUCUAAAAAAAAGUUAUUUUUCUUAACAAAAAGAAAAUUAACAAAUUUGUUUUUACAUGUGUUAUUGGUCAAUUAAGUUUAGCACAUAAUAAUUUAAAAAAAAAACAUUUGGUGUGAAGAAUAAUUAAUUAAAAAGGCCAUUGAAGUUUAAUUGUAUGUAUCAUUGUAAUAUAGUGUUUUCAUUCAUUAAAUUAAAAUAUAAAAUUUUUUAAAACAAAUUAAUGAGCUUAUGAGUAUAAAUUUUUGAAUACUUAUGUUUUAUUCUAAGAAUUUCAACGCAUCCUAUGAUGGAGGGGCUUGCAUCUUUUGAUCUAUUAUCGCAAGCUUAUACUUAUGUUUUAUUCUAAGAAUUUUAACGCAUGUAGUCAUAAGUGAAAACACAAUUUUUUUUAGGAAAAAUAGCUUAUAUGAUUGACUUUUCAAUUACUUAAUGAGAAGUAAGUAUAUUUUUAUUUAUUAAUUUUUACUCAUUUAAAAUUAGUUUGCAUGAGGUAAAAUUAACUUACGAGAUUACGCCAUGUAUAAAAAAAUAUAUUUUAAACAAUUUUUUUUUCAAAUAUUUUUGUGGAUUUCUGUUUUUUAUUAAUUAUAUUUUGUUAAUUAUUAAUCAUUUUUAAUAUUAACUAAGAUAUAGAUUUGAUCUGAUAUAAAUAUUAUUAUAUUAUUUUGAUAUAAAAUUGUUAUCACUUAAAAUGAAGUGUGUAGAAUUAUAAUCGAGUUUAAUAUGAUGAAAUAGAUAGUUAAGUUGUAUUGCAAAAUUCAAAUACUAUCGUUAAAAAUUUAUAUUUAUAUUUAUAUCUUACAUCCGCCUAAUUAGGCGGAUCUUAUCUAUAAUAUAUAUAUAUACCAAAUGGGUUGAUUAAAAAUCUAGAUGACGUGGUUGGAUUGGCCAGCGGCCGAAUUCUUAUGAUCGAAGUUGAAAGAUUGCAUAUCGUUGACAAGAGAUUUAUAUAUAUUAGAUUCAUAUUUUUAACUCUAAGCCACAAAUUCUAUAUACACUAUACUCUCCAAAACUUGUAUAAACCGGAUUUUAUUGUUAUUUACAACGUCUUCAAUGACCAUAUAGCCUUUGACACAUAUUAGACUGAAGUUCGAUUUCUAGCCUUUGACACAUAAAACAAUAUUCAAUCCAUUUGAAUAAACCACAUAGUUACACGUAUUUGGUUCACUAGAAAAGUUUUUAUCAUCAAUACGUCAAUUUAUCUACAAAUAUCUUAUGUAGAUUAUGUUUGGUAAUUGAAUUCAAACAUUAAACUAUAAGUUACGUCGUUAAUAUGUACUUGCUUACCAAUUUUUGUUUUUUAAAUAAGUAACUAAAUAAUACUUUAGAUAUACUUUACGUGUUAGGUUGGCGGCUUGCAUGCUUCCUGCAUUAGUAUUAGCGAUCAAAAAGAGAUAUAUAAUGCGCACUUAUGUAUGUUUGAACGUAAGAAACAAAAAUAUUAAAUAUGUAUUUAUGUUUCCGUCAAAGGCCAAAUAUAAAGGCCCAUAUAAACAAAACUACUUCUAUAGAAAAUUAUAGAUACCCUCAACAUUUUUGUUUAUUUACAUAUACUCCCAACAGUUUUAUUUAUCACUAAUGCUCCUUAGUCCUUACUCAUAAAGCUAAGGGUGGGCACAAGGCGAGUAUUUGCUGUUUUAGUGAUACUUGUUACUUGAUUUACCUUGUACGAGUAGUAAAAAUUUGUAUUUAUACUUGGCUUGUUGAAAACGAGUACUUGCAAUUUCAAGUACUUCUUUAAAAGUGAUUGUCUUGCGAGUUACUUGCCUUGUCUUAUUACUUGUUACUUGAGAGUUACUUGCAAGUACUUGAGAUUUAAUUGCAAAUAACACUUUCGAAUUAUUUAUUGUUAUUUGUCAUGUCUUUUACCUGUUUAUAAUUUACUUUAUUUUUGACCUAAUUUUUAAAUGUGUUUAACAUUAAUACAAUAUGAAAUAUAUAUAUAUAUAUAUAUAUAUAUAUUGGUAAAAUAAUAACAAGUAACGGAUCAAACAAGUUGAGUAUUAAUUUUUUUUUUUUAUUAUUUGUUACUUAAUUUGUACUUGCAAGUAUCUAAAUUAUACUACUUGUUUUUUGCCUUGACAACAAUAAAUAUUUGUUUUUUCAAAGCGAAUACAAAACAAAUAACGAAUACGUGACAAGUAACGAGUAAUCAUCGUGUCCAGCCCUACAUAAAGCCAGACGAGCCAUGGAUCCUUGUCAGAUUGUUACGGUCACAUGAUGAAACCAAACUCCAUGUAUCUUCUUUUUAAUACAUCCAAGUAUAGAACACGACACGAUUUCUGUAAAAAAACUAAAAACUAGUAUAUAAAUCAUUAAAUCUAGUAUCUUCUUUUACCCAAAAAAAGAUGUAUAGAACACGACAUGAUUGGUAAACGAAACAUAGUCGAAAGACAAAAAUCAACGGAUUUUUUGUUUACUAGUAUUUGAAUUAUGCUUUGAUUGGGUAGGAUUUUAACUUUUUAAGUUAGUAGCUUAUUAUUCUUUUGUAUGCGUAUGGAUUUAUAGUUUUAUACUAAUAACAUCAUAUAUGUAAUAAUUAUUCUCUCUGUUUCAUUAUAUUAGAUGUUUUAAUUUUAUUUUGUUUCAUAUUAUAAGAUGUUUUGCUAAUUUCAAUAUAAAUUUUAGGGAGACUCACAAAAAUGCCUCUUUUUCAAUACCCCUUUUCAAAAAUGCCCCAUUUGGCUGUCCAUUUUUAAAAAUGCCCCUUAAUUAUUUCUAAUAUGACUAAAUUACCCUUCCUUUCAUAACCUAAGAACUAUCGGUUCCCUCAUCUCUUCUCUCUCUCUCGCUCUCUCACGUUGAUCGGCGAGUAUUCCGAUUUCAAAUCUCGAUUCCGAUUUCAAAUCUCGAUUCCGAUUACAGAUCUCGAUCUCGCUCUCAUUUCAGAUCUCUUCUCUCUGUUUCGAUUUCGCUUUUCCUUCUGUUUUCGAGUCCCACAUCGAUUCCAGGUUAGAUUCCUCUUCUGUCUCCUUUUCGUUCAGUUUUCGAGUCCCACAUCGAUUCCAGGUUAGAUUCUUUGUAAAGUUUGUCUUUAGAGGUUAGAUUAUGUGGUUAUGUGGUUCUGUUUUGAAAGGUUUGUCUUUUACAGGUUAGAUUCUGUGAUUCUGUGAAAGGUUUUUCUUUUAGAAGCUUUUUUGAUAUCAUUUUCGACUAUUAAUGAUUGAUUUUACUGCUUGAUUUUGAAUUCUGGAUUUUAUAACAUUUUUUAAAGGUCUUAUAUGCUUUUUAAAGGUUUGUUUCUCUUAAACUUUUUUGCUUUUGUUUUUACUGGAUAUGGUUUUAUACUUUUAAUGCUUGGUUUUUACGCAGAUGUCUAACAAUGACCCAUUGGAUUUUACAACGUAUUUUAAAGGUUUUACAUGCUUUUUAAAGGUUUGUUUUUUACUGUUAAUGAUUUUAGUGCUUCAACCUUGUGUAUAUCAUCUCUGAUUUAUUCAACUUCUGGAUUUUAUAAUGUGUUUUAAAGGUUUACAUGUUUUUUAAAAGGUUUGUUUUUACUGUUAAUGAUUUUAGUGCUUCAACUUUGUGUAUAUCAUCUCUGAAUUAUUCCACUUCAAACGUUUGGUUCCAUGACAAAUGGCACAGACUCUCAGCUAGCAUAGGUCCUUGCAGGUUGAAGCAAAACACCUCAAGACCAGCAUCCUCGAUGUAGUCAAUCACGUAAAGUCGCUGCAGUUUUGGGCAUUGCUAAGAAGCUUGACAAGAUGAAUCAAACAUGUCCAAACUCUCCUAACUCGUCUUCUGAUACGAUUCCAUUAGUUGGAAAAGAAGAAAAUUUGAUGAUGAUUUAGUUACAUGUUGUUAUGUACCAAAAAGUUUUUACUCAACUUUUAUGUGUCUUUUGUAAGUUUGUAACUUAAGAAAAUUCCAUGUAACACUAUUGAUUGUUAUAUUUAGUGCUUUAAUUGUUAAAGUGAUUGCUAUUAUUAUACAAGUGACUCAAUGUGGCUCAAUACAUGUGAUUUGAUGAAAUAGUGAAGUUAAUUUUACAAUGUAUUUUAAAGGUUUUACAAUGUAUUUUAAAGGUUUUACAAUGUGUUUUAAAGGUUUUACAAUGUAUUUUAAAGGUUUUACAAUGUGUUUUAAAAGGUUUUACAAUGUAUUUAAAAGGUUUUACAAUGUAUUUUAAAGGUUUUACAAUGUAUUUUAAAGGUUUUACAAUGUACAAUGUGUUUUAAAAGGUUUUACAAUGUAUUUUAAAGGUUUUACAAUGUGUUUUAAAAGGUUUUACUAGAUAUUUUAAAGAUUUUACAAGGUGUUUUAAUGAUUUUACAAAGUAUUUAUACGGUAUAAGCUAAGAUGAGUUAUAAAACUUUGAAAAUAUUUUAUAAAGGUUUUAUAAGGGUUUUAAAAUUUAAAGAUUUUACAAGAUAUUUUAAAGGUAUUUGAAAGGUUUAGAAGGUAUUUUAAAAUGGUUUACAACAUGUAUUUUAAAGGUUCGACAACAUAUAUUUUAAAGGUUUUACAAGGUAUUUUAAAGGUUUUAAAAGGUUUUACAAAGUAUUUUAAAGGUUACGUGAAUUUUAAAGGUUUUACAAGGUAUUUUAAAGGUUUGACAACAUGUAUUUUAAAGACUUUACAAAGUAUUUUAAAGGUUAUACAACGUGGAUUUAAAAGAGUUUACAAUAUAUUUUAGAUCACAUCCACAACACAAAUCACAAUCGUUGUUCUAAAGUUCUUAAGAACACAAAUCAGAAACACCAAAACCACAUAAAACUCAAACUAAUCAAUAUAACAUCAAGUCUUAAGAUCUUCUCCAGUCUUAAAAUUUUACACAGGUACCCAUUAGGCCAUUAUGCAAGAAGCCUUUCUUCUCCGGGAAACAAAAAAUGUAAUCCACUGCACAUAAACAAUAAUCUAAUCCCAUGAUUUAUCACUCUGCAGCAAAAACAACAAUCGAUUUUGAAAUCACAACUGACAAAACUGAAACUGUGAAAUAAAACUUAACCGAAGAAGAAGAGAUUAAAGAGGAUUUUUGUGUGAUUACAGAAAGUUGAGAAACCAGAUCGAGGAGAUUACACAGUUAGACCAAUUCUUAAUCCUAUUCUCCACCAAAUCGAGAAAAUAGAUAAACACAUAAGCGAAUCUCUUAAAAAUCAAUUGAUGGACUAACUCAAUUCGGAUAUGUGAAAGAGGUAAUGACAGAUUGAGGCAGACUCGGAUCUUGGACUGCGGACACAAAUCGAUGACCAAAUCGACUACGACGACGACGAUAGAUGAAGGAUAUCCUCGCCGAUUUAACUCCCGGCGAAGCUCUGGUCGGCAAAGAUGAAGAUUCUCGACAGAUUGAAGAUGAGGUUUUGGUCUCGUCGGUGGUGUGGUGACAGGAGACGGCGUGAAUAUCAAGCACAUGGCAUCGUCCGACGACGGUGAAGAUGACAGGAGAUUGACCUUUUGUUCAUCGGCGGUGAAAGUGAUUAGAGCCGCCGAGAUUUUUGGUUCGUGCUUGUCUGGGGAACAAUUUUGUCUUUUAGGUCAAAGCCUCAUUAAGGGUAAAAUAGUCAAUUUCAGAGAAGCUAUUAGGGAUGGGGCAUUUUUGAAAAGGGGUAUUGAAAAAGGGGCAUUUUUAACAAUUUCUCUAAAUUUUAAUGCAUUUGACAACUUAUGACUAUUGAUAUUUUGUAAUCUUUUUUAUGAUUGGUUAAAUUUUCCUUAAACUAAAUAUAAAUGAUGUUUUUAAAAGAAAAAUAAAUUAUCUAAAUAUGUUUGCAUUUACCUGAAACAUCUUAUAUUUUGAAACAAAAAGAGUAUUUGUUUAGGGAAGAAAUUAAUUAUAGUCAUAGUCAUGAAAAAAAAAAAAAAAAAAAAAACUAACUCAUAACUCGUAACUCAACUUUAAAACUCAAAUCAAUUCAACUCAAGACAGCUUCCCUUGUUUGGGCUUAAGACCUUCUUUUCCUAGUAGAGUCUUUCACUUUAGAGGAAAUAGAACUACUGGCUGGAAUAAACCUUUUCCCUUAGACCAAAACUCAGCGUUUUCUUGUUUUUUAACCUAGCUUCGUUGUAAUUCUCGAAGGCGGCUACGGUUUGUGUUUCAAGUUCUUGGUGUUCCUCAUCAGAAGUCUAGAUCCUCCUGAUUCAAGUUUUCUCUUUCUGGUCUCAGUUGGAUUUCGUCUGCUCUGUCUUGCGUGCUGUUCGUUUCAGUUGAUUUUCGCUCUAUUCGGGAGUGUUUGUGGUGUGUCUUCAGAGUUUUGAAGUCAGAGUUUUAAGCUUCUAAGGUUGACAGGUGGUGUUUGUGAUGUCGGCUGCUAUGGAUAAGGCGUUGAUGGCCAUGUCCUUGGAAGAAGAAGACGUUCCGUUCGAGAUGCCAAAUCUUCCUCAAUAUAGAUCGUGUGAAAGAAAUGUUUUAAGUCUGGUUGGAAGGUUGCUCAAUCCAGAUAAUCAAAGUAUCUCGAAUCUAAUUCUUAAUAUGCCGAGAAAAUGGCAGAAGGUUGGCAGAGUUCGUGGUAUAGCUUUGUCUAAUGAGAGAUUUCAGUUCAUUUUUCGGAAUGAACAUGAUUUAGUGGAGAUCUUGGAGAAAGGAGUUCACACCUUUAAUGAGUGGGCUCUGGCUGUGGAAAGUGAUUGAAGCAGUGGUUAUCCCAGAUAAGCCGCAGAAUCAAGACUUUGUUCGGGUAAAAAUCAAGUUCGAUGUGUCCAAACCUCUAAGGCAAUCUAAAGUAGUAAAUUUGCCGGGUGGGAAGUCUACUGUGGUGACCUUCCAUUAUGAAAGAAUCCAGAAAAGAUGUUAUAACUGUCAAAGGCUAACUCAUGAAAAGGAUUUGUGUCCUCUUUUGAUUAAGCAGAGAUUAGAUCAAACAAUUGAUAGGAAGCUUGGGAAAAAGUUUGAGAAGCCCAAGCCGAGUCUUGUUUUAAAAGAGAGUGAUCCUCUUUUUGGGGUUCUGUCUGAAGAUCAAGUUGGAAUGCACCCAGUUCUUGGAAGACCUCGUAUUGCUCCGGAUGUCCUUGAAGGUAUGAGGCAGUAUCUUUUGAUGGGGGAUGGGGAAGAUAGAAAGAUCAGAGAGGCUAGAGUUAAGUCCUCAGUGGCUGAGACUGAAAAAGAUCCUUUCCUGCAAAAGACUGUGCUUCGCAUGGAACCACCUCCAUUAAUUUCUAAUGAUAUCAGUAAAGGCAGGGGAGUGGUCUUUGGGUAUGAUUCUUCUGACUCUUCCUCUAAUUCUGCUCAUUAUUCUCAGCUUGUGGAGAAGUCUUCUCUUGCUGUUGUGGAGAACAGGAACGAAGAUGUCAUCAUUCCUUGGGGAAGCAAUGUUGGGUUGGUUGAUAGUUCAAUUCAAAUGAGGCUCUUCUCUAUUCCUAUUCAGUCUGGUCCGGUACUGGACUUAAUAAGCUAAAUCCAAGAAAAAGACCGACAAAAAAUCAGAGGAAAUUAAAAUGUGCGGUCGUUGGUGGUGAGUCUGCAAAGGUUGUGAAGAAUCCUGGUUUAGAAGAAGGUGUUAUUACAAAAAGAAAGGCAGGGAAAGGAAUUAUGGUCCAAGCAAAAGCUGCAAAGUUCAGCAAAAAUGAGGUAGUCCCAAAUGAGGGACUGUCCCAUAUCUAAUGAGCAUUCUGAGUUGGAAUUGUCAGGGAUUGGGGCGGCCUCAAGAUCUGACAAUUUCUCGUCUCCUAGAGAUGCGUAAAAAACAUUUUCCGGAGAUGUUGUUCUUGAUGAAGACUAUGAAUGUUAGAGAUGUCAAUUGUAGAUAUCCAGGAGUGGUUAGGGUAUGAUAAUGUAUAUACGGUGGAACCGGUUGGCAAGUGUAGUGGGCUUGCUUUCUUUUGGAAGAAAAGUGUUUCUGUGAAUGUUCUUUUUGCUGAUAAAAACAUUCUGGAUAUGAAAGUGGAGUUUGUCCUUCUAGGUUUCUGGUCUCUUGUGUAUAUGGGAAUCCUAGUAGUGAUCUUAGGCACCUGGUUUGGGAAAGACUGACUAGGACAGGAUCUCAAAGAAAGGAUUGUUGGUGCAUGGUUGGAGAUUUUAACGAAAUUCUGCACAAUGGUGAAAAGUUGGGCGGGUCUAGAAGGAGUGAGGCUUAUUUUGUGGAUUUUUCUGUUAUGCUUAAGUCCUGUGACAUGAUUGAGUUGCCUAGCACAGGAAAUGGGUUUACUUGGGGUGGAAGAAGGUAUGAUUUGUGGAUUCAGUGCAAAUUAGACAGAUGUUUUGGAAACAAAGAGUGGUUCAAAAGAUCCCCUGCUUCUAAUCAGCUGUUUUUGGAGAAGAAAGGAUCUGACCAUAGACCUGUUCUAGUCCAAUUAUUCUCUUCGCGGGAAAAGUACAGAGGCUCCUUCAGAUUUGACAAAAGAAUGCUGCAUCAGCCACUGGUUUUGGAUGCAAUUAAAAAAGCUUGAAUGAAUCAGUUUUCUCCUUUUGGUCAUUCUGUUUCUGAUAGACUUAGACGUUGUAGAAAAUCUCUUAGUCAGUGGAAGAAAGAAAAUUUGUCUAACUCUCUGGAAAAAAUUCAAAGAAUCCAGAAUGAUAUAGAGAUUGAGCAUGCGACUUUUGCACCAUCUUUUUUCUGAAUGGACUGUUUACAAAGAGAAAUGGUAAAAGUGCAUAGGGAUGAGGAGAGUUUUUGGAAACAGAAAAGUAGAAAGAAGUGGAUGCAUUCAGGGGAUAAGAAUACUAAGUAUUUUCAUGCAUCAGUUAAGGCUCAAAGAUCAAAGAAUGGCUUGGAUAAGCUUCUGGAUGACCAAGGAAUUAUGCAUAAAUCUGAAGCUUCCAAAGGUGAUGUGGCAUGUAAGUACUUCCAGAAGCUUUUCUCUUCCUCUUAUCCAGACGAUCCUCAUGAACUAUUUGUUGGUUUUCAGCAGAGAGUUUCUCCAUUUAUGAAUGAUUAGUUGGUUGCUGAGGUUACAAGUGAAGAAGUCAGAGCUGCAAUAUUUUCUAUCAAGGCUUCUAGUUCUCCUGGUACUGAUGGAAUGACAGGUUUGUUUUUUCAACAAUAUUGGGAGGUUGUUGGACCGCAGGUUACUGAAGAAGUUCUGAGGUUUUUCAGUGAUGGGUUUUUUGAUAAAGAGUGGAACUUUACUCAGCUCUGUCUUUUACCUAAGAAGAUCAACUCUCCAUUGAUGUCUGAUUUACGUCCCAUUAGCCUUUGCUCGGUGUUAUACAAGGUCAUUUCUAAGAUCUUGGUGUCAAGGUUGCAGCCAUUCUUAUCAGAUAUAGUUUCCCCUUCUCAGUCCGCUUUUGUGGCUGAAAGGUUGAUUUCUGAUAAUAUUUUGAUUGCACAUGAGGUAGUCCAUGGAUUAAGAACUUAUGAUGUGGUGGCUAAGGAGUUUAUGGCAAUUAAAACGGACAUGUCUAAAGCUUACGAUAGGGUGGAGUGGAGCUAUCUUCAUCAUUUGCUUUCUGCCUUGGGUUUUCAUCACAAAUGGAUUAACUGGAUUAUGUUAUGUGUCUCCACUGUCACUUACACAGUUUUAAUUAAUGGACAGGCUUUUGGAAGAAUUGUGCCUCAAAGAGGUUUAAGACAAGGAGACCCCUUGUCUCCUUUUCUUUUUGUGUUAUGCACUGAAGGUCUAACUCACUUGUUGAAUAGGGCUGAACAUGAUGGUCUGAUCAAUGGUAUGCGCUUCUCCCCUCAAGGUCCCUCAAUUCAUCACUUAUUGUUUGCGGAUGAUAGCCUUUUCAUAUGUAAGGCUGAGGAGAAGCAGUGUUUAGCUAUUCAACAGAUUCUUCAUGUGUAUGGUAAGGUUACAGGUCAGGUCAUAAAUCUUGACAAAUCUUCUAUCACAUUUGGUGAUAAAGUUGGGGAAGACUUAAAAGUGAUGGUUAAAAGCCGGUUGGGGAUUGUGAAGGAAGGAGGUUCUGGAACUUAUUUGGGACUCCCUGAAUGUUUUAGUGGUUCAAAAAUUGAGAUGAUGGCUUAUAUUCAUGAGAAGCUUAAGAGUAGGUUGUCUGGAUGGUUUGCUAAGACUCUAUCUCAAGGUGGUAAGGAGAUUUUGCUCAAAUCCGUGGCUAUGGCGAUGCCGGUUUAUGCCAUGUCGUGCUUCAAGUUACCUAAAGGUACAUGCGAAACCCUUUCAAGUGCUAUGUCCUCAUUUUGGUGGAGUUCUGUGGAAAGUAGAAGGAAGAUUCAUUGGGUGGCUUGGGAUAAGAUGUGCCUGACUAAAGAGCAAGGUGGUUUGGGGUUUAAGGACAUUGAGUUGUUCAAUCAAGCGCUCUUGGCCAAACAAGCUUGGAGAUUGCUUCAGUCUCCUGAUAGUCUUUUCUCCUUAUUUUUUAAAAGCAGAUAUUUUGUGGAUCAUAAUUUCUUGGCAGCUGUUACUGGGAAUAGACCGUCCUUUACUUGGAAAAGCAUUUUACAUGGCAGAGAUCUCUUAAUUCAAGGCCUGAAACAGUUGGUGGGGAAUGGAAAUUAUUUAUCUGUUUGGGUGAGUAAGUGGCUGGAUGAUCAUGAUAGGGGAAUUAUGAGGGCUCCUUUCAUGAAAAACAUCUUGGUUAAUCUUGAUCUUCCUGUCUCAGACCUUAUUGAUCCUAUUACCAAAUCAUGGGAUAGGGAUAAAUUGGAGGACCUCUUCUUCCCUGGUGAUAUUGAGCUGAUUGUCAAAAUUAAGCCUGUGAUCUCAUCGGCUGAUUAUUUGUGUUGGAAACAUAAUAAAAGCGGGGAUUAUUCUGUGAAGUCUGGAUAUUGGUUGGCUGCAAAGAUUUACAAAGCUAAAGAUAUUUUUGCAGCAUCUGUUCAAUCGUCUCUUAAUGGAAUCAAAGAUCUGAUUUGGUCCACCAUGGCGCCUACAAAGAUUAAGGUGUUUCUAUGGAAGGUCGUUAGUGGUGCUAUCCCGGUUGCUGAGAGAUUGCUGACAAGAGGUAUGACAAUUGAUUCUAGAUGCCAAAUUUGUGGUGGAGAAGGUGAAUCAAUUGAUCAUGUUCUGUUCUCUUGUCCUCUUGCUAGACAAGUUUGGGCCAUUUCUUUUAUUCCCUCUCCAGAAGGUGGUUUUCAUGCUCACUCCCUUUAUCAUAACAUUCAUUAUGUCUUGUCAUUGAGACAGAAUCACAGAAUUCCUUUGGAGACGAGAAGGUUAGUUCCUUGGAUUAUAUGGCUACUUUGGAAAAACCGCAACAAUCUUCUUUUUGAAAGAAUGGUUUACCAGGUAGCUGACAUGAUGAGAAAAAUCAGGGAGAGCUCCAUUGAAUGGUUUCUUGCUCAGGAAAUUGAGAGAGUGGAGGAUGAGAGGCAGGACAUUGGCCCGAUCAGACACAAUAACAAAUGGAGACCUCCUGCUAAACCGUGGCUGAAGUGUAAUGUUGGGUUCUCUUGGGACAAAGCUAAAUGUACUAGUGGUGCGGCCUGGGUCCUUAGAAAUUCUGAAGGCACUGUUUUGCUACAUAGUAGAAGGGCUUUUGCAGUUAUUGGCUCAAAACAGGAUGCAGAAUUAGAAAGCUGGUUUUGGGCUUUUGAAAGCAUGAGAAGUUUGGAUGUUCUUAAUGUUAUCUUUGCGGUUGAAGGUAAGGAUAUGGUGAAUGAUGUUUCAAGACCUCAGGCGUGGCCAUCUUUCAAGUAUCAAAUAGGCAGAAUUCUUUUGUUGCUUGGUCAUAUUGCAAACUGGAAGCUGGUUCAUGAAGAAAGAAAGGCUAACUUAGGUGCCUUCCUCAUUGCCUGUAGUGUGACAAGAGAGGAUCGUAGUCAAUCAUACGUAGCACAAGGCUACCCUUUUUGGUUACAAGAAGUGUUCACUAAUGAGAGUUGUAUUGCUUAGGUGUAAUACUCUUUUUGUCUCUGUUGGUGAUUGCCCUUGAUCCUUUUGUAAGGUUUAUACCUAAACAGUUUUUUGGUUCUAAUGAAAAAUUCAGAUGAAAAAAAAAAAAAAAAACUCGUAACUCGUAACUCGUAACUCGUAACUCGAAUCAUAGCGAAUGAUGAUAUUUUUUUGGGUCUAAUCCGAAUAAAAAUUUUUUGUUUAGUGUGUCUUAUUUUAUCCAAAAAAAAAUAGUGUCGAUUAUUGUUUCUUCUGGAAAGCCGCCGACAGAAAAUUGUGGGCUCACAUGAAAUUUUUCCAUGAUGCGUCAAAAAGCAACCAAACGACUCCAAAAUAUCAACUCAACAAAUCAAAUUCUCUACACGCAACUUUCUUUCAAAUCCAAUCUCGAUUCAUUGAACCCGCGAAGACCCAGAAACCGAAAUCGAAGACCCAACGAAACCCAUUCAUCGAAACCUCGAAAUCCGUUGAAAGUUUGUUCCUUUUUGGUCGGAGAUGGAGGCUUUGCCGGAGGAUGAAGAGUACAGUUUCAGGGAAGUGGUGUUGCCGUCGUUGAUUCCGGUAGUGCAGGAGCCGGAACUAGAGAGAGAAAGCGGAGAGAGAAGAAGAGGAAGAGAUGUAAUCGUAGCCGUUGAUCAUGGUCCCAAUAGCAAACACGCCUUUGAUUGGGCUCUCGUUCACUUCUGUCGUCUCGCCGAUACUCUUCACCUUGUCCACGCCGUCUCAAGUUCGUUCUCUCUUCAAUGUGAAUAGUAAAUAGUUUGAUUUCGUGUUCUGUGUUCAUUUCCAUUUCCAGAUCUGAAAUCGGAGAUUCUAAGUCUGGUUUUUGAUUUUCUUCAUAGGUGUUAAGAACGAUGUUGUGUAUGAGACGAGCCAAGCUCUCAUGGAGAAACUAGCUAUUGAGGCGUAUCAAGUUGCCAUGGUUAGGGUUUAUUACCUUAUGUUAUCUCUUUUUUGGUGUGCCUAAUAAUGUUGUUUCUUGUUUGCUAAGUUAGGGUCUGAGAAUUCAAUACAAUCAGGUGGCUAUAGAAACAAUAGUUCUAGUCUAUUCAUUAGUUGCAUUUGCUAGCAACCACUAGUUCUUAGAAUCGAAAUCGUUGCUUAGUUUCUUCUCUUGAAUCAAACACUACUAGUUCUAGUCUAUUCAUUUGCAAAAAUUGUUGGUGUGUAUGAGAUGAGCCAACCGCUGAUGGAGAAACUCGCUGUCGAGGCAUUUCAAGUUGCCAUGGUGCCUUAUGUUAUCUCUUUUUUUUUGGUUUUUCUGGUAAUGUUUUGUAGAAGAAACUGUUUCUUAAGUUUUUUGGUCUUUUACUGUUUCUUGAUUGUUUAAGUUAGUGUCUGAGAAUCAAAUACAAUGAAUUAGUUGGCUACUGAAACUAUAUGUAAAGUUUGAAGCUUAGAAUCGAAAUGGUCGAUGUGUAGCUUAGUUUUGUCCCUUGAAACACUCGUUCUAGUCUAUUCAUUUGUCGCAUUUGCUACCAACCGUGUUAAUACAAAACCUCUGGUGUAUUCUUUGAAUUUAAUGACUUAACUUGAUACUGAUUUUUUAUGUUUAGGUAAAGAGUGUGGCUCGUAUUGUUGAAGGCGAUGCUGGUAAAGUAAUCUGCAAGGAAGCAGAGAAAGUGAAGCCUGCUGCUGUAAUUGUGGGCACACGAGGCCGGAGCUUAGUAAGAAGGUUUGUUUGAUAUACAGUAACAACUACUAGCUGUGAUCUAUAUCAGUGUUUUUCUUCUUUCUUUUUCUGAUUUUUGAGUUGGAUGAUUCUCUUUUGGAAUCUUCUGCAGCGUGCUACAAGGGAGUGUAAGCGAGUAUUGUUUCCACAAUUGCAAAUCCGCUCCCGUCAUAAUCGUUCCUGGGAAAGGUACAUGACUAUAUCAAUCAAUCAUCGUAAAACCCGAGUCAUUUUCACAGUUCGUUUGUAUAACUAAAAGAAACCUUGUGUUCUAAUGCAGAAGCUGGAGACGAGUCGAUUGUGGACUGGACACGUUCAGAAGAUCCAAAACCCUGAAGAAAAGUUCAAGUAUUUCCACGAAGACUGUUUUGUUUUUCAUUUUUCUUUCGCUAUUGUUGCAGUCUUUGUUUCUGUAAGUUCGUAAAGAAAACUUGAAAUGCUUCUUCUUCGUCUCUUUGUGUGUGUAUGUGUUUUGAUUUGGGUUUUGUAGUUUCAAAUUUCUGUAUAAAACCUUUGCUCAGGAAUGAAAUUAUUGUACGCAAUGGUGUCAUGUGUUUCAGACUUUUCACUAAACAAAUCUAUAGCAGAAACUAUUUCUUUUACGCAUUUGAUCGAACACUUGGUGUGCGUCUUUGUGAAACAUAGAAAGAUAACAGAUUUGUUGAUUACUGGAGAGAUAAGUCAACCAUGGCGGAGUUUGGAGAGCUCGAAGCUCAAGAUGGAGUUAGAAUGCCAUGGAACAUCAUCCCCGUCGCAACGAAGAAAGAACAAUCAAUCGACUCUGAAAUUCCAGUUUCCGCCAUUUACACACCUCUGAAACCUCUCGCCGAUCAUUCUCUUCUCCUUCCUUACUCUCCUCUCCGUUGCCGGACUUGUCGCUCCGUUCUAAACCCUUACUCCGUCGUCGAUUUUUCCGCCUGUAUUUGGGGUUGUCCUUUCUGCUUCAAUCGGAAUCCUUUCCCGCGUAAUUACUCUUCAAUCGCCGAUAACAAUCUCCCGCCGGAGCUUUUUCCACAUUCCACAACUGUUGAGUAUCUUUGUGACUCCUUCUCUUCUCCUUCUCCUCCUGUUUUCCUCUUCGUCGUUGAUACUUGCUUGAUCUCUGAAGAACUUGAUUUCCUCAAAUCAUCUCUCUUCCAAGCUUUGGAUCUUCUUCCUGAUACCUCCAUCGUCGGUCUCAUUACCUUUGAUUCAUUAGUUCGUGUUUACGAGCUUGGAUUCCCACACUGUACCAAAUCUUACUUCUUCCAUGGAAACAAAGACUGUACUAAAGAUCAGCUCUUGGAUCAGCUGAGUUUCUUCGUCAAGAACCCUAAACCUUCUUCAGGUGUCAUUGCUGGUGCUAGAGAUGGUCUCUCUUCCGACGACAUUGCACGGUUUCUGUUACCGGCCUCCGAUUGCCAGUUUACUCUUCACUCUGUUCGUAAAUUCAUUGCCUUUCAACUUAUCUUCUCUUUAUAUAUUCAACAUUGUGUUCACUAGUUAACUUCUGUUUUGUUUCCUGGUUUAGGUUCUUGAGGAGCUGGGAAACAAUCCCUGGCCCGUUGCACCUGAUCACCGCCCUGCGAGAUGCACUGGUGUUGCCCUCCGAAUCGCUGCUGGUCUCUUAGGAGCUUGCUUUCCUGGCUCUGCUGCUCGAAUCAUGGCUUUUAUUGGUGGACCUUCCACUGAAGGCCCUGGAGCUGUAAGUCUUUUCUCUUGUUAAUCAUAUCCGUUGGUAGAAACUCGGUGCUAGCUGAUGCUCUUUUAUUGCCUUUUUCUAGAUUGUUUCCCAGGAGCUUUCGGAUCCAAUUCGCUCUCAUAAGGACAUUGAUAAAGAUUCUGCUACGUAUUACCACAAUGCUGUCGAGUUCUAUGAGAUGCUUGCAAAACAACUCGUUCAUCAAGGUCAUGUUCUUGAUGUUUUCGCAAGUUCUGUUGAUCAGGUGAUUGUAUGGAGAAAUUUGUUAGUACUCUUUUUCUUGUUUUAUAGCUACCGUUUUUAUUUAUUAUAAGCAUCUCUAGGUAGGCAUUGCUGAGCUCAAAGUUGCAGUUGAGCAGACUGGUGGAUUUGUUGUGCUUGCUGAAAGUUUUGGCCACUCAGUAUUUAGGGAUUCUCUCAAACGCGUGUGUCAGUCAGGUGAAAAUGAUCUAGGCUUGUCCUCAUGGUAAUGGCUUACCUAACUUUCAUGUAUGUUUUCUUUAUCGAAAAUGAACAAUCUUUUGUCUGCUAUGUUUAGCUUCAGCGAGUUGUUUCUUAUGAUCUGUUUCCCUCUUACAGUGGUAUAUUUGAAAUUAACUGCUCAAAGGAUAUCAAAGUUCAGGGAAUUAUUGGCCCUUGCGCAUCUCUCGAAAAGGUAUCAUAUAAAACUGUUAAAGGUAUCUAUUUUUCCUUGAGCUUGUUGUGAUCACUUUCUGAUGAUUGUUUGCAGAAAGGACCGUUGUGCUCUGACACUGCCGUCGGUCAGGGACACACAAGCGCAUGGAAGAUGUGUGGCCUUGACAAAAACACUUCAAUAUGUUUGGUUUUUGAAAUUGCUAAAAGGGAUACAGCUGAUGUUGUUUUGCAGUCGCAGAGCAAUCAGUUUUACUUUCAAUUUUUAACAUAGUAAGGGAUUUCAAGUUUUCCAUCUUAAGUUAUUAUUGCAAGUUAUGGAUGUAAUAUGACACGCUUUCUGCUUACAGCUAUCAGCACUCAAAUGGUCAAACAAGACUCCGGGUAACAACUCUUUCAAGAAGAUGGGUAAUGGGAACUGAAAGCUUACAGGCAAGUUUUGAGUAGUAUGUGAAUCUACUGUCUUAAAUAGGGAGCCAUUUGGAAGAGAUUCUUCUAACGUUUAGAGGAUAGCAUUUAUAUUACCACUUCAGUAUGAUUGGUGGUGUAAUAUAUAUGAGAAACGAGUUGCCACACCAGUUAUAUUAUGGAAAAUUUAUGGCUUAUUUCAUCUUAUGUUCUUAGUAAUCCAUUCUAAGCCAGGUUUGAGAAUUGUUCAGUGGUUUUGUACAUGGCUAGACUAAUCCUGUUUUCUCUGCAUAUAACUAUGGUCUCUAACUCUUCCUUGGAAAUUGCGUUGUGAAGUAUAGGAGUUGAGCAAUGGUUUUGACCAAGAAGUAGCUGCUGUAGUAAUGGCACGGCUUAUUUCUUUCAAAAUGGAGACUCAGGUACUCGAUGAUGAGAGCUAGAGUUAGAUUCCUUAAGCUGAAUAGCUGAUAGAGGAUAUCAUGUUUUAGUGUUUCUUAGGUUUCUUAUUUGUUCUUUUACAGCCUGAGUUUAAUCCCCAAAGGUGGCUCGAUAAAGCUUUGAUAAAUAUAUGCACCUGGUUUGGAGAUUACCAGAAAGGCAAUCCUUCUUCCUUUAGCUUGUCUUCUCAGUUAUCAAUUUUCCCGCAGUUUGUGUUUCACUUGCGCCGAUCUCAGUUUGUCCAGGUACUCUCUUCUCACUGCCCAUAAAUACAUGAGAGACUGAAAUUACUUUUAACGCUCAAUUUUAUCUUUUUGAGCUCAUUUGGCUUUUCCCCUUUGUAGGUCUUUAACAACAGCCCAGACGAGACAGUAUAUUUUCGAAUGAUAUUGUACAGAGAGAACGUUUCGAAUUCAAUCGUGAUGAUUCAACCUUCACUGAUUUCUUUCUCAUUCCAUUCACCGCCAGAACCAAUUCUUCUUGAUGUAGCAUCCAUUGCAGCUGACAGAAUCCUACUGUUGGAUUCAUACUUCACUCUUGUAAUAUUUCAUGGUUCUACCAUCGCCCAAUGGCAAAAAGCUGGAUACCAUAAUCAACCUGAACACCAGGUAUUAUCAUCCAUAAUCUUAAAACAGAGAUGAUAAAAGUUGUCUUCUAGAGUCUGAUCUUCAUAAAAACUUGUCUUCUUUGCGCCAGGCAUUUGAGCAUCUGUUGCAAUCACCUCGCGACUACGCAGACACAAUCAUCAAUGAACGGUUUCCCACUCCGCGUCUUGUCAUAUGUGAUCAGUAUGGUUCACAGGUACCUCUCCUUCUUUGCUCAUGCCUCCAUUUUCCGACCAGAGUUAGUAAAAAUUCCGAGCUAGAGGUUCCAUUUGGAUGCUUAUUAUUGUUGUUUUGGUUGUUUCUCUUGCUGUGUAUUUUUGGCAGGCGCGUUUUCUUCUAGCAAAACUGAAUCCUUCUGAUGGCGAAGCUCCUCUUUCCGGGGAGAGUAAUGUUUUCACAGAUGAUGUUAGCUUGUCUGUGUUUCUUGAUCAUCUUAGACGACUCAUUGUUCACUGAUAUAUGAGCCUGCCAUUUAGCUAAUGACUUGAUUCGCACUCGUAACAGAUAUUUUUAUGUUUACGUGAGAAAGUGACAAAAAGAUUUAGGCAAGAUUCCUUUUUCACAUUAAACAUAAGAGACCUUAAAAAAAUGGAAAAGCACCAAAAAACUUGAUCUUAAUUUAAAAAUGGAAAAUCACCAAAACAACCUAACGUGAAAAGGAAAAGCAACAAAACCCAUACUUCGUAUCAUCAAUCUCCAAAAUAUUUCUAUAAACAAAAAUUGAAGAUUCAUUAAAGUUAAGGGGUCCAAACAUAAUUUAGAAGAACGUACAUCCAAUAAUACAAGGGGUCCCUUGUACACAAUUAAAAAUUAAGGGGUCAAAUUUGAAGAAAUAGCUAAAUAAGAUCUUCUUAAAACGCUGCGUUUAGUAACUUGCUCUCCAAGGAGAUCUACCGUGUUCUAGUCGCACCUGAUUACAACCUAGAACUGUAUAUAUAUACACGUCGUCUUUGUGCUUGCAGAGAAAGAAAAACAGAAAAAGAGAAGGAACUUGCAGAGAAAGCAAAAAAAAAAGAAGAAGAAGCGAAGAAGAGAAACUAAAGAUUCAGGUACUUUCUAGCUUCGAAUCUCUUCAUUGAUUUCUUUCUUAUGAAUUACUUGUGAUCGAUAAUGAUGCUCGCGAGUUCUGUUUACGAAUUUACUGAAUCGUCGCAGCAAGUUUUGAGAAAUUCGUUAGUUUUUGUUUGAAUCUCUCUUAGGAAUUUGGUCGAACACUUGGUGGGUAUCUUGUUUAUAUGAAUCGUUGUGAAAUUGUUUUGUUUUUGCAUCACAGAGUGUUUUCUUGCGAAUGAUUGAUCUGAUGAUUUUGGUUGUCGAGAAUCCGAAUGGUUUUGGUUAGAUGUUUAAGUUAUGUUUGUGAGACUUUAGGGUUCUUGAGACUUGGUUUCGAUUAUUGGAUUAACAUAACUAAUUGGAUCAUUCGUAUUCAUGAGAUUUCUUUGUGUUUUUGGAGCAGGAACAAAUGGCUUCCCAGACAAAGCAAACCGUGGUGGAUACACAGAAAAUUGAAACCGAGAACCCGCCAAAACCGGAAGUGCCUUUAUCAUCAUGCAGGAAGAGGGUGAAGGAUGAUAAUGCCACUUUCUUUGAAAACCUCAAGGAUCACAUGGAUGAAUUCAUCCAUGCCUCAAUGGAUGAACACAAGACUUGUUUCAAAAACACCAUGAACAAGGUUCUUUCUCUAUUCUCUACUAUCUCCUGAUGACACUCACAUUCAUGUAUAGUCAUAUUCAUUCACAGUACUAAUCUAUUAUGAAUAAACUCAUCUUGAACUCUGCAACUCUAUUGAUGUAUUGUGGAUUCGGCAUAUCGUGUAGUCUUUGCAAGCAGUAGAAAAACCGUCGCUGAUGUGUUUUAUUCAUCUUCAAGAUGCUUGUUCAUGAUUAGAAUGCAUGAUUAUCUAUGUCUAUUAUCUAUUGUUGAUCUGUCCCUUAACUCAUGUGGUUGGAUCUCUCAGAUGUUCGGGACCUUUUCGAAGUCGGAUGCAGUUGCAGAGAAGCAAUUUGAGGCUAAGGAAGUCGUCGAGAUUCACUCUCCUCUUCAGGCAGCAGUGACUAAGUAGAGGAUUCACAACUACUGAGCUCAGAAAAACUAUGAAGUGUUUUCUUUUUCUUUUAUCUUGUUUAAAGUUUUAGAACAACUUUCUAUGGUGUGCACAAAUACUCUUCAAGUAUUUGGGUGUUAAUACUCUUAGAACCUGCUAUCUUUAAUCUAUUCUAAUAUCAGACAACUUGUUUCUAGACCAUUGCAUUAAUCAUCUUUACUAAUUUCAUUUAAUAUGCAAGUCUUUAUCAUGAUUACAUCCAUAGAAGCAUACCAAUAUCUUGCAAAAAUCAUUCCCUGCUUUAUACUUUGUUUAAAUACUAAAUAGAUAACAUUGAUUGCCAUUUAACAAUUUUAUGAACAUAUGACCAUGGAUCGCCAAACUUAUAUAUAAAAGUUGCAAAAACAUUCGUUGGUUUGGCUUGGAAUCCUCUGUUAUGAACUUAUGAUUAUGAAAUUAUAUAAACUUUUUUAAUAAUAAUUAUAUUAAAAAAAAUUGUUAGGCUUGAUAAAUUAUUGUUAAAAAGUUGAUAUUUUGGUGCAAUUGUAUAUAUUUCUUCGUAAUUGGCGGAUUGGAUCCGCCCUCUUGUAUUGGCGGAUAAGACUUAAAACACUUAACCCUAGCUGUGGAAUUUUUUUUACUUGAGGAAAGAAAUAUAUCUUGGCUAACAAUUUGCAAUAUCUUAUCCAAAAUACGGUUAGAAUGGUAUUGUUUCAAUGUUAGUGUGCUGUGUUUCAAUGAAACAGUUUUAUCUUUAUUAAGAAAUAUCUUUUCACAAAAUUAUAGAUUUUUACUUUUUCCCCAAGAAGAAUGUACAUACAAUUGUUCUCAGAUAAAAUUUUGCCCUUAACAGAUUUUUACUUUUACCUCAAACAUAAUUCUUUUUUAUGUUUAAGGGGGUGUUCUUGAAAAUCUUUGAUUUAAAAUCCAUGAUUGAAUAAUAGAGAAGCAACUAGGGAUUAACAAAAUACAUUUACUAACCUUUAUUUUCUCUGUUCCUAAUUGAUUGUUGUUCUAGCAUUUUUUUUUCCAAAAAAUGGAUUUUUUAGUUCUUUUUUUCUUUUUUUUCUUAUUGAUUCAUAUUAUAAAUCGUAAACUCAAGACUCCAUGAUUAAAUUUAUCAAAUUACUAUUGGUUCGUUCAUAGCUAUUGAAAAAUGUUUGAUAUAAAAAAUAAUACUGUAAUGAUUAAAUCUUGUCUAAACAAAAAGAUAGGUUGAAACUAACUCAGGUUCGAUCCACCCUAAAAACAAAAAUCACAUUUGUUUGGGUGUGGGAAGUCUGGGCUUGGGUUUUGGCCCAAGCAAUUCACAUGGUAUCCAAGAUUAGCCUAACUGGAUACCCCAGACAUUAGUCGGAAAGCAUUCCAAACUUGGGGUUAGGCAGUGUGGUAGUCCAACACCUAGAUGUUGGCGACGAGUCCACAUGGUACCAAUUCGGCAACACCUAGGCAUGUCAAUCGGGCUAGCCUGGCCCGGCCCGAAGCCCGCAAAACCCGUACAUAUUUGAGCCCGGCUCAGCCCGUCCGUAAAAAUUCCGAGCCUAUAUUUUAAAACCCGGCCCGGCCCUAACAGGGCUACAUGGCUUUUCCGGGCUACAUAGCUUUUCCGGGCUUUUUUGGACUUUUCUUCCGACAACAAAAAAACAAACUUAUAAUUUAUAAUAUCUCUUAAAAAAAAUCUAUAUAUGAAAGGAGUCAAUCAAAAUUUAAAUAACCACUAACACUAAUUUAGUUUUUUAAAAAGAGAAUUAAAAUCAAAUAAAUAAUUCAAAUAAAUUGUUUAAACUUAUACUAGAUAAAAUAUAAAAUAAAAAUAAUUCAAAUUAGGUAGUAGAGAUAAUAUUUGUUUCUUAGAUUUAUAGUAAUACACAAUUAAAAAACUUAGUUUAGGAUUUUAAACUCUAUCAAAAACUUUUUUUACAACAAAUGUUACAAUUAAACGAAAAUAUUAACAAAAAAAAAGGGUCUAAAUAUUUUUUAAAGGGCUUUUCGGGCUAGCCCGAGCCCGGCCGGGCUAAGCCCAAAAAACCCUUUAGCCAGAACGGGCUUAGCCCGAAGGCCCGAUUUUUCCUGGACAUAUAUUUUGAAGCCCGAGCCCGGUGUUUUUUAAGGCUGGGCCGGGCUAGCCCGCGGGCUUUGGCCCGAAUUGACAUGUCUAGUUCCCUCCGGGCUGACCGGAUCAGCCGAUCGGAUAUAUAUAUAUUAAAAAAAAAAAAAGAUAAGUCCGAUACAAAAAUUAGAGUUUUCUAAGGAUCAAAGAUUAGAGAAUAUGGCUCUGUGGUUUCUGUUUGCGCACACAACCAUGGGAGUCUCUUAUGAUCCUCACUUGGAAGACGGACUACGGCAUGACUCUUCCUCCCUUAAGAAUUUACCACAUUAUGUGGAUGUUAAGUUAAGUAUACAUUUACAUAGUUCAUAUGUAGUUAACUUAUACAUUGAGAAUUAGUUCAUUUUACAUAUAGAGUCAUCUAUAUUUAACUAAACAUUAACUUUACAUCGACAUGGUUGUUAUAUUCCCAAAUAGUUAACUACUUACACAAAAUAGUUACUUCAUUUCCUUGUUCUCCUAAUUUUCAUUUUCAAUCAAACUCAGUUGUUGUUGUUAUGAGUUUAAGAUCUUGUCUAGUAUUACAGACACAACUCAGAAGUAUUCUUUGCCCUAUAUCAUAAACAGAACAAAAUAAACAAACUUUUUCAGAGAACAAGGUAUUAAUAGUUGAGCAACAACAUAAUUAUUCUAGAAACUUAGACAAACAGUUUUAUGUAGUAUUGGAUUGCUACAAAUGUUUACUGAUAAAAAAUACAGUUCUAUGCUAACAAUGUCUGAUGAGAAGAAGAUUAACAUCAAAUUCUUCAAAGCAAAUGAUUAACAUUUUUUUCUCCUUGUAUAUUCUCUCAUCAACCAAUAAAAAUCCCUGGCCCUGACCAUGGAUGGAGAUUCUCCAUUUCCUAAGUUCUUUUCUUCAAAGAUUCCAAGAAACAAGAAAAUAAAAAUAACUCUACUGUUAUAGGCUGCUACUAUGGCUGAUUUAGGACCAGUCUUGUGUCUGUGGAUACUUUUUUCCCUCAAAUGGGAAUAGCUCUUAUGGGAUUCCUGGUGAUAAUAUGCCAUUUCCUUCUUUUGCGUAAAGUUUGUCCGAAUCAAAUUUUGUAAAGGGAUCAUUCUUUUGUUGAUAAUAAUAUCUCACCACUAUCCUCAAAAAAUCCUUCUAAAACAUAUUGAGCUACAGAAACUUCCAUUAUAGUGUGAUUACUUCAGGUUCGGGUUCUUCUCCAAGUUGCGCAAAAGGAGCAAACCACUAGGAGAGGAAUCAGAAUACUUAGUUUUUGUUUCUUGCUAGAUUUGGGGAUAAGGGUUCCAAAUAUCAACAUAAAUUUUGUAACAAAUUUAAAAAGCUUACUCUUUACCUUCCUUUUCAUACAGAUUCCUUGUAAGCUACUCCUGGUAAAUUCUCAACAAUGAUCACUGGAGCUAGAAUCAAGACAGAUAUUGGAAUAAAAUCCUCAAGCCUUUACUGGUGUAAUAGUGAAAAAGUAAAAAUAAGCCUUGCUCAAAAACAAGCAAGUGACCUUAUGAACUCAAGAUUAUUAUUUCCACAACUAAAGAACCUAAAUGUGGGGAAAGUGUUUCAUUUUUACCAUUUUAAUACCUAGGCAAAGAGGGUCGCUGUGAAGAAUCGUGACGAUGAGAAUAUCAGUAGUGCAAUGCCUACUAGCAGAAUUUCUUAGCAACUUGCAAUCUAUUAUCUCUCUGGAAUAUAUUGUGCCCCAAGGCCUCAUUAUUAUUAAGAUUCUUUCUCUGUUUAAAGUUUUCCUUCUCGAUAAGAAGUUUCGCCCUAACCAAACCACGACAUCUUAGAAACAGAACCAUCCAUAUCAUAACUAGAAUAAAAAUAUCUAGAUCUUGAGAUAAUUUGGAUCACAGAAACGAAAAUAUCUUUAUAGAAGUGCUUAUAUUGGCAUAUAUCCAGAAAGAGAGCAAAUUAGAGUAUCAUAAGACCUCUACAAGUAAGGGAAUAUCAUCUUAAUUACUUUGCCAAGCUAAUAACACUUAGUGAAACUAUAAUCAAGAAAGAUCCAAGAAGUAUGGUUCUUAGUAGCUUUACUUUAAAAAAUGUGUAGGCAAUAACUUUACAAAGUCUUGGAGUCUUUUGAAAACUAACCUGAUUCAAUAGCCAUAACUGAUAAGAUAUGAGUAUGGUCGUCCAUCUCCCAUGGCACUUUGAGUCACCUGUGUUUCCGAGAGAGGAAAAUCUUGAGACUUUAAAUCAAUCUGUCAACUUUACUAUGAGCUAAAAUCAAACAACAAGUGCAUCAUUAAUGAACAACCUUUGUUGCAUGAAAAGAAAAUCUUCAAAUCUUUAAAGAAUGACAUAACCAUGAAACAAAAUGCUCACUUUCUGAGUUAAAACCAAACAACAAGUGGAUCAUUGAUGCAUGUUGUCUUUUUGCCAAGUAUGUAUAUAGUCCUAUUGUGCAUUAUUUGGUGUGAUCUUUUUAGCAACCUAAUUUAGUUACAGGACAAUAAUCUAUUUGCCCAUCCCAACCCUGGAUUCUUACCAAACAAGGUAACUAAUUGUUCUUGUGAAACAUCAGUGUUUAUAAUACGACAACAAACCAUUAUAAUAUGUAAAAAUUUUGGUUCCUGCCCAUAUGCAAUAAUGCAGACACCAAAGAACAGGAAAAAAAAAACAAUUUGAAUAUCCACCAAGAAAAGUGAUUAUUUAACAAAUUAACAACCAAGAAUCCACAUUAGACAAUAUAUGACCAAGAAAAACACAGUUGCCUAACUUCAAGGAGAUGGACCCAACAAGGCAAGGAAAAAAAAGGUAGGUAAACAAUGUUGACCUUUUUUUUUCAACAACAACAAAACACACAAAAAAUGUCGAUGAUUGUACGGAAAGAUCUAUACAGCUAAAUAACUUGAUAUGAUGUCCAUGGCAGAGAAUCUCAAGGUAAAGCUCUGCCCCCACUUUCCUUUAAGAAUUCUUCUUAUACAAGAGAAUAUAUGACUUAUGGUGAACACACGAAAAGCUCUAAUUUUGUGUUUGUGGAUACAAAUUAAUCCUCACAAUGUUUCAAAUCACUGAGAUUUUUUAUAAGAAGGAAAUCUGAAUAGUCAAUGAAAAUCAUCUGUCAAUAGAGACUUGUCCCUAACUUUAAUCCAAAGGCUUGUAAUUUUCCUAGUCUCGCGAGCACGUGAGCUUUGUGCUGUGAUUAGAGACCAGACUGUUCCAUGACUUAAGUACCAUAGGUAGAGAGAUUUUCCUAACUAUUUAUUACCUAAACUGUUUCUUUUGACAACAAGCUUAAUCUAGAGAAUGACGUCAUAACCACUAAUUGGGAAAGAAAAGUAAACACAUUAGUUAUAACAUUUAUAGAAAAGUGUCUCUAGGGAGCAUCAUAUGCCAAAUAUGGAUAGAAAAACGCAAUCUUUGGUUGAUUAGUUUGGAUCUUUGAUACUGAUCUCCACAACAAAAUUUGCUCAUAUUAUUUUCUAGCUAUAGAGACAAAGACUUAAAAUUCUCUUUGUUUUGGCAAAGAUAUCUUUAACAACUGGGCCUACCUCACACCAAAACCUCUUUAUAAAGAGCAAGGACUCUGCGACAUCUGUGCAACAUAUCAUUUCCUCAGAAUCUCUUUCUUAUUUUAACACAAAACCAAACAUCAACUUUAGUUACUAAACAAUGGCAUCAGGCUCAAUGUCUUCUUAUGGCUCUGGCUCAUGGACUGUUAAGCAGAACAAAGCCUUUGAGCGUGCUCUAGCAGUCUAUGACCAAGACACUCCUGACCGUUGGCACAAUAUUGCUAGAUCUGUUGGUGGUAAAACACCCGAAGAAGCUAAGAGACAAUAUGACCUUCUCGUGCGUGACAUCGAAAGCAUCGAGAAUGGUCACGUGCCGUUCCCUGACUACAAGACUACUACUGGAAACAGCAACAGAGGCAGGCUGCGUGAUGAGGAAAAGAGGUAAUAAGACACAUUUUAUACUAAUAACAACUAAAUCAACUUUGUUUAUCCAUAAUAGCCCACUAUUAAGAUACUUCUAUAGCAUGACAAGAAAACAUAAAAAAGGGCAUGUCUGUUUCAGCAGAAAGCUUGUUACUUUACAAAGAUUCUCUUAUAUUAAAGUUAUGAGAGGCUCUAAAUCAUCCAAGUGUUCUCUUCUCAGUGUUCUUGAGGCUUUAUCACAACACAAACUAAAAGCUCCCAUAUAAAAAAAAUAUGCCUAGAAAUAGAAUCAUUCCUUGUCAAUAUUAAUUGAUUCCCAAAUCUUUCACCAAGAAACUUCCAGAAACCUAUGAAACUCGAACCAACAAGAUUUUAAUCUCUCUUCUUUUUGCAGGAUGAGAAGCAUGAAGCUGCAGUGAAACAAGAAGCAACAAAAAAAAAAAAAACUAACUACGUAUGAUCGUCAAGAAAAUAAAAGAGAAUCACUUCAGGGAGAUGUGUUUUUCUCAAUGUCUGACGAAUCAAUGUUUUUUUUCUUGCAAUUUCUCAUGUUUUCCCUAAGAAUUGGUUUUUUUUUUUGAGGCAAAAAAAAGCACUCGAAUUAGUUAACCAAAAUCUGUAUUUAGGGUUCUUCGUAAUGAAAAAUCCAUUGUCUAAAAUCACAAUAAAAAUGUUGAUUAUAUAUUACUAUCAAGCUUUAACGAAUAAUUCAGUCACGGAUUAAUCUCAACCAAUCUGAAUCAAUGUUGCUUCAAAAUGGAAAAAUCCAAAGUGAUAAAUCAAUUAAAUAUAAUGGAGAAUCCAAUAAUGGAAAAAGUAUAUGCGAAUCGGACAAGAAGAAGUCUCGAAAUCAACGAAUCAAUUAACCAAUCUCUAUUUUUAGGGUUCUUCGAAAUUUGGGAAUUUUUUUUUAUCAAAUUAUUCAACUUUGAAUGUUGAUAAUUGGUGAAUCACUGUUUAUUGAUAAUCAAAUCAUGUCACGGGAAGAUAAAAACUCACCUCGAAAAAUCUGCAAUUUCUGAUCGCAAUCUUCAAAAUCCAGCGAAAAUCAAAUAGAGUUUCAAAAUUUUGGGAAUUUUAUAGAAAACCAAAACCCCCAAAUUUUCAAUUCAACAGUUUUUUUUUUUUGGUAUAGAGAGGAAAAAACAAAAUUAGGCGGGAAAUCUGAUUGUUCAAAAAGUAUGUCAAGUGCAAUUAAUUAGUUAUACCACAGAUAUACCGUACGGAUACGAUUUUGUACCCAUGUACGGUAUACCAAUACACAUGCAUAUGUCCCUCACCGUAUUCUUUUUUUUAUGAAUACAGUCAUUUUAUUUCUUAAACUGAAGUAUAUCCACUAAAGGACAAGUAAAACUUGUAUUUUGUUCGUGUUAUCUUUGAUAAAAUGCCAAAGAGAAAAACAGAAUGACUAGAACCCAGAUUAUCUUUGGUUAAUGGAUUUCAGCGGAUUGUGAGAAGCUCCUUAUUUUGAUUAAGCGAUGGGUACAGAAAAAUCAAGAAUUUUGUGAGAGAAUAUGGUCAAAAAUACUUCUGAAAGAUUACUUCUAAGCUUUCCAAGUAUCAAAGAAUACCUCUGAGCAAUGUUAGAUCUCCAAGUAUAGACCAAGAGUUUUCAUUUGGUUAUGAAGUUCACUUUACUAUCUCUAAGGAGAAAAGGGAUCUAUGUCUACAUCUUCAAGUGAGCAUUGAAAGACUCAAGCUCCUAUUAAGUCAACAAAUUUGCGGUUUCAAACUUAGCGUAGUUGUUCCACUCACGAUAAGUUUGCGGGAGAGUUUUAGAGCAUUUAUAGCAAGGCCAAGAUUAUGAAUCUAUGAUAUUGGAAAAGCCCAGGCCAUGUAAUUAGAUCUAAGCAAGUAGGUUCAUAUAUAUAGUCUCUUGUAAUUAACAUCAAAUAGUCAAUCUUGAGAGUUGCCUCAAAACUACUCUACUUCUUCAUCUUAUGAAAUAUCAAAUCUUGUGUUUUUGGUGACAAUCAAUAAAGUUCUUUACUUUUAUCUUUCUUUGCAUAAUAAAGCUCUUAAUGAGCUAUCUAGGCCUGGGCAUUCGGGUUCGGUUCUUUUUUUCGGGUAUCGGGUCUAUUCAGGUAGGGGGUCAAGACCCAUUCGGGUAUUCUAAAAAUUCGGUUCGGGUUCGGGUCGGUUCGGGUAUUUUAAUAAAAAAAGCAAAAUACCCGAAAAUAACCAAAAAUACCCGAAAUAUUUUCGGGUUCGGGUUUUUAACUCAUAUAUACCCAAAUCUAACCGAAAUACCCGAUUUCUCAAAAAUACAUUGGUUACUCUUUACCCAAAUAUAACCAAAAAUAUCUAAAAAUACUAAAAUUACCCAAAAGAAAACUACAUCAUUAGUUACUUUUUAACCAAAUAUAUCCAAAUGUAUCCGAAUUACUCAAAAAUACCUAAUAUAUUCGGAUUUAUGAUUGUAAUUUUAGGUAUUUUGGGUAUUAUAAAUAUAAAUAUAACUAAUAUUUUUAGGUGUAUAUUUGUAUUCGGGUACAUUCGGGUACAUUCGGGUAUUGGAUUCGGUUCGGGUUCGGUUCGGGUUUUUUUCGGGUAGGAGGUUAGGACCCAUUCGGGUAUUUUUAAAAAUCGGGUUCGGGUUCGGUUCGGGUAUUUUUCGGGUUUUUCGGUUCGGGUAUUCGGUUCCGGGUAUUUUGCCCAGGCCUAGAGCUAUCUUAUUUUCAGUUUUAGAUUUCAAUGUUAAUAAGAGCUUGAAUCCUACUAGCUAUGGAUUUUCCUACAUGAACAACCGUAUCAUAUUUUGUAUGUAAAUAAUAUUCUAUCGAAUUGGUAUAUUUAUGCUAUCCAUCGAAUAAAUAGAUGUUGACAAACAUAGCACACUGAUGGGUGUUAUAUAAUCAUAGAUUUUUUGUUUGAAUUGAAUGUAAAAUUGUAUUCAACCAAAAACUUUUGUACAAUGAAUACGACUGUUUGUUCUAGAGUUUCAAUAAAAUAAAAUAAAAAGAGAGUUUGAGGAAAUAUAUAUAAAUGGUCUUGAUUUUGGUGUUGAUCGAGUAGAGAACCACAAAUUUAGGCCGUUAUAUGAUCUCCUAAGUCGCUGAUUGAGUUGAUGCGAUUCCGGACAAUUUUUCCAAUGAAUUUGCAUUAAUGUAACUGAGCUUUUGGAGAUCCAUGUGUCUUCUUGCGUUUCUCUCAUUGCCAAAUGUGGUAUUGUGGUAUAAAGUGGUUUGGAAAUUGGAAGACUACAAUUAUGGAUUUUAAAUCUAGAUAAUUAACUUUAGGAUGAUUGAAUAAUAUCCUCUAAAUUUUUAACUAUUGUUCCAAAUAUGUAAAUAACUUCCUUUUUUUCUUUAAAAUACUAACCAAGACGAAUAAGGUCCAAACCAUGUUGGAGAGCUGAUUCUAUGACGAACCCAAUGCCGGAUGAAACCAGUAGAAUAUGAUCUGUAAGAUGAAGGAUGGUUCGGUUCAGCAUUUAUGAAUAUCCUCGAGCAUCGCAGUCUUUUCAGAAUUAAAACCAAUGAUAUUUAGCUUCGGAUUUUAUGUUAAAAUUAAUAGAGUAAUUUCAUGUUUUUCUUUCGUUAAGCACUAGAUGUUUCUCUAAUUAUUGUUCCACAAAUGUUACUCAACUUCUCUUAUUUUUCUUCUUUCAUUACUUACUAGAGAAAAUUCCGGGCUAUGCCCGGAUAUAUAUUUAACAUUCAUCAUAUUUUAAAUUAAUUAAUAUAGUUUAAAUUCUUUUAUUUUUUUAGUGUACAUACGAAAAAUCAUGUGAUGUUUAUUUUAUUCCAAAUUCUCUAGUUCUUUAUUUAUAAUAUGAAAUUUAUGAUUUUCUUCAUGUUAAGAAAUAUUUUAAUUAUUUUAUGUUUUCAAAGAUUAGAUUACUAUCAUCUUACUCCAUAGAUAACAUUUUGCAUAUUUGAUAAGUUUGUGGAAUAUUUUAGCUAAACACUAUUGAGUAUGCAUGGUUUUCUAUGUUUAAGAAUCAUAACUUCAUAAUGCCAAGUUCUAGCGCGGGUUGUUUCUUUUUGUGUUUGUACUUUGUCGUUUGUAUUAUGUGGAUAUGAAUUAGAAGGUAAUUCAAUUUCUCGUCCAUAUAAAAAUUCGACUGUAGUUUAAUUCAGCGUGAAUAUACAAUUUAAUUGUAUUUUGCAUAUUAAACAAGAAAAUAUGGAAGAGAGAUGGAAAAUAAUCAAUGGAGAGACUCGAACACUUAUGCUAAAAGUCAUCAUAUUAGCGAAUUGAACACUUAUAUUUCAAUUUUCUUUUCUCCAAUCUUUGUGACUUGCAGCAUUCUCCUUCUCCUCCAAAAUUUUCUCAUGCUUAAGCACGUGAAGAAUGUUAAGUUCCACACAAAGCGAGUCUUACCUUUGUGAAAAUAUCCGUAAAUGAUAUUUUGUUGGACUGAAAGAAUUUUUUUUUAAAAGAAUUUCAAGAAUGAUGAAGGUCUUUGGAAGUCACUUUUGGAGAACCUUAUAAAAUUUAGAAAGUGGAUCCAUACCGUAGUCAUAUUUGCUGCCUUUGACAUCCUUAAUCAAUCCUUGCUAGAUCUUCUUUCUCUUAGUCGUCCUAUGCCUGCAGAUAUAUUGUUCUAAUAAUACCAUAAUAACAUGAUUUUUUUAAAUCGGAAGAGAAAGUGGAGAAGUGAUUGUUGAAUACGGAGAAGUGAUAAGUCAAUAUAAAGAUUGAAGAUGCGAUCAAAGUUGUGAAAGAGGAAGUGGGAACGAUUUGGCUUUGUAACAUUAAUUUGUGUUAUUAUUUUCUUAAGAACAUUAAUUUGAUUAGUGAGAGACUAUCAUAAUUGCCUUAACCAAGAAAGAAGUUAAAGUCGUAAUAUGUGAGGUUAUGUGGCAACUUGUAGUAGAGUUUUAAAAUGAUGAUGUGGAUAGCUUGAAAGGCUUCAAACAACACCUUUUAUUAGUAAGAGAUUAUUUCACGACCAGGGAACCGCGCCAACUACGUCAAAAUUUCCAUUUUCACAUAGUCCAGAGUAAAAUGGGCCGAAAGUGGUGGACCAACCAAGACGACUAUAAAGUCCAAACGAUGUACAAAACUAUAUCUUGUGAAUAUAAAAUCUGAUAGACCCACCCAAUACAACACUUUCUUUAUCAAGAAAAAAGACACCGAGACUUUUCUUUUGAAAAAAGAUACACUCAUACACCGAGACUUGUAAAUAAUAUUGUUGUUGGUUUUGUUCUUCUCGAAAAUAGUAUAUAGUUUUCAAUUUUAAAGUUUUUAUAAUGAAUAAGGAUUGAAUGUGUAUAUUUUUACCAAACUAUAUAACACAUGGUCCUAAAUAUCUUCAUUUUGUCUACAAAAAUCAUGAGUUACAAUUUUGUAUCUUUUUGUGAAUUCAUAAAAAUAAAAAACAUUUCGUGUAAGGAUGCACAACAAGUACAUAUCAUAACAAUUACUUAUGUACAGUAUUUCUUUAAUUUUGUUCUGUUUAUCGUCUCUUUAGUAAAUUGGAUCACAAAAAUAAAUUUUAUAACAUGUUAUAUCAAAACAAUUUAUGUUUGAAAUAAUCCUAGUAGUCUAAAUUCGGAAAAAAAUCAGUAAUUUCCGAGUAAUCUUGAUGAUGCGAAUAAACUAAAUAGAAAAAUAUCAAUAGAUUUAUUCAAAGGUAGUGUGGUGAUUGGUCUAAAGAUAAUCAGUAAGCACAAGCUUCGCUUGUAUUAGUGCCUGUAGUAGUUCUUCAAACAAGUGUUAUUGGAGUUUUUUCCGACAUGGUGACUGAAACUCAUGAACUUUGGAGUUAAAAAUUGCAAGAUUUUGAAGAUUUUUAAGGUACUCAAUCGUAUCAAAACUACAACAGCUGAUGAAUCAUUCCACAAUUUCUCAAACGGAACAAAUCUUGUAAUUUAGAAGAUAGAAACAAUCGACACAGAUGAAAUCUCGCGAAGAAAAUUGUUAUUUAGAGAAUGACAAGUGACUUAACAUUACGUUUCCAGAUACCAAAAUACCUAAUCACGAACUGUUACAUCAAAUCUAAAGCAGAACCAAACCAAACAGAGAACACACAGAGAACCAAGAAGAUAGCAUAACGAGCGAGAGAGAGAGAACAUUCAUUGAUAAUCCCAAAUCUAAUUAAAGGAAUUACCAUCCUCCUCCACCGCUUCCUCCGUAACCUCCUCCUUCACCACCACCGUAUCCUCCUCCACCCUCACGUCUUCCACCACCGUAGCUUCCGCCACCACCACCUCCUCUUGAGGAGUAACCGCCACCACCGCUGUAUCCACCUCCUCCCUCACGUCUACCGCCGCCGCCACCUCCGUAGCUACCACCGCCACCUCCGUAUCCACCACCACCUCCGCUGCGGUAUCCACCGCCACCACCUCCACGGCCGCCUCCUCCGCCGCCGCUUCCUCGUGACUGAGCCUCGUUAACAGUGAUGCUACGUCCAUCGAGCUCUUGUCCGUUCAUUCCCUCAAUCGCAUCCUUCAUGGAUUUCUCAUCCUUGAAGGUCACGAAUCCGAAUCCCCUUGAUCUUCCAGUCUCACGAUCGUUAAUGAUCUGUUAUCCAAAAGCCAAAAAAAAACCAGAUCAGCAAAACAAUCCAACAAAGCUGAACAAAAUCAUUAGAUCUACUUCAAAAAAAAACACAAAAUUCCGAUCGAUCUCCGGGCUCACAGAAGCAGGAAGAUGAACGUACCGAUUUUGGGAAAAACAAGUAACAGUAACAGUAGUAACAAAGAACGAAUAGUAGUAACAGAGUAACAGUAAUCGAAUCAAGUAACAGAGAAACACAAGAUCGGAACAGAUCCGUCGAGGAUGAGAUCAUCGAAAUCACUCGGAGUCCGAUCUCGGCGUGUAACAGACCUUGGAAUCAACAACGUCGCCGUAUUGAGAGAAGGCAGUUUCAAGAGCUCUGUCAUCAGUGGCCCAAGCUAGACCUCCAACGAAGCACCGAUACUCAACAUCUGCGGACGCCAUUGAAAUUUGAGAAGAAGAUCUAGGGUUUACAGUGAGAGAAGUGAGCAGAGAGAUUUGUGAAGAAUGAAGAAGACGAAGUCUCGUUUUUAUAAGGGGGCUGAGAUAUUAACCAAGGUUUAGAUAUUUUUUAGGUUUAGAGUCGGUUUUGGUGAAUUUUGGUUUAACUAUGGUUAAAUGUGUGGUUAAAAUUCGUAGUGGUUGGGGACAUAUCACGUGACACUUUUUGGUUUAAUGCGCAAUUGGAAAGACGACGAUGCGAGAAAGGAUAUUUUUCUUUGUCCCAAGAAAAAAUAUCUCAGUGGAGCAAAAAAAUAUCUCGUAUGCCAAAUGACAUCUUUAUCCCUUAGCUCUAAAUUUGAAAUAACGUGGUGAUUGGUACUGGGCCGGAACAAUUGGGCUACUAUAAUUCGGCUAGUAGUAUAAUUGGGCCGCAAUAAUUGGGCAGAAAAAUUAAAUGCAAAACAUUAAUUUCGGAAAAAGAUAGUGUUGACAGUGGGAUUUGAACCCACGCCCUUUCGGACCAGAACCUUAAUCUGGCGCCUUAGACCAACUCGGCCAUAUCAACUUUGAUGCAAUGUAAUCGCGACUAUAAAAUUAGAUACUUAUAAAAUACAUGUAGUUCAUUCGUUUUAACUUUAACGAUAAGCAACAUUAAAAAAAGUGAAUUAAGGAGAAUAAAAAAUAAAGGAAAUCUGAUUAACCGUUUCUCUCCCAAAGCGAUCAAGAAGGCGACUUUUAACAAAAACAACUUUUCAUUAUCUUCUCCGGCCGGCGUCGACUCCGGCGUCGGCCGUACUUUCUUUUCUAUUUUUUGUUUCGUUUGUAGUUUUAAGUUUCUAAAUAAAAUCUCAAUCAGAGACGUGUUUACUUGUGUGAUCAUCACCAAAUCACCAAUUACUAUUGCUUGGCUUCUUCCCGUAGACGAAAUGGCUUCAUGUGGCAAAGUAAGAGAUGGUUUUUCGGUGAUGGGGUUGUCUGGUAGCGUAGGACAUGGCGAUCCGGAUAUGAUGAUGCCUUUGUUAACAAAUCCAUGGUUGGGUUUGUCUCAAUUCUGGGUCUCCACAUUGAUAGCCGAUGCCACUUCGAUUCUCGCUCUCAGGGUUUUCUUUCCUCUUCACAGAGGCGUAAUUGUCCGUGCGAUGAUGAUAUGGUUCAUUCACGGUGUUUUUUCGGGUAUGCCCGACCUUCUCGGUUUGGUGACAAUAGUUGCCGACGGCUUCUUAAUGCAAAUUUGCGGCCCUCGACGCAUAUGGAAUCCCGGAAUCACAUCGGAGACAUUUGUCGUGAAGCUCUUCAACGACGUCUUUGGUUUGAGAUGUAUAAUAGGAUGGGAUUACACUAGUACCAAGCCAAACUUUCUAAUGUGCAUUAUGACACCGAUACGGACUAAUUGGUAUUGGAUUGUCGGGAUUUCAAAACUUAUUCUAGGAACAACGGGCUUUUUACAUGUGAUGUGGAGUUUCGAACAAAGAAUGCCAAUAGGGCAUACAUAUCACAUUCGAGUAGGGUGGCUUAUGAAGAAGGAACAUAAUAUGUUUAUCAUGUUAGCGAGUAAGGCUUAUCGAAAGGAAGCAUCGUCAAAUUCACUUUUUCACUUUCGUCAUCUUCAAUAUAUGGCACAUAAUUCUGCUUAUGUAAUAAAUUGUUUUAUGAAGUUUUGUAAUGGUUUUGUACUUGUUGUAAUACCAAUUGUUUAAUGAAAGUUUUUAGAAGGAAACAAAAAAAUAAGGAGAAUAAAAAAUAAAGGAUAAUGUAUUGGGAAGAGAAUUAAGGAGAAUAAAAAAUAAAGGAUAAUGUAUUGUGAAGAGAAUUAAGGAGAAUAAAAAAUGAUUCUUUCGAAUACAAAUUUUCUUUUUUGGAUAUUUUUUUUUUAACUUCUGAAACUUGCAUUAAAUAGUAUAAGGUUGGUACAGAUUUUUUUUUUUUUGCUAAGAGAGUAAAUAUCAAUAGAUGAAAGUUUUGGUGUUACAAUAUAUAAGACCUAGAAGCAUGAACCUUGCCAAAAAAAAGUUAAAAAACAAGGAUACAUUAAAGAGUACACAAUAACAAUUAAGGAAAGAAACCGAUCCUUAGCUGAGCCAUAAGGCCAUGAGGUUGGUACAGUCGUACAGAUAUGGAAUCAACCAAAUAGGAGUUUUAUGGAAGUUAACCAGUAAAUGAGAAUUUAUUUACUCGGUGAAAUGAAAUUAUGUUUCCUUAUAAAUAGUUAAAUACACACUACGGCUUCUUUAAAAAAAUUCAAUUCCGUUAAUUCUCUCUUCUGACUUCAUACGAUGGUUGUAAUCUCUGAAAUUUCCGACGACGGCUCUAAUGGCGGCGAUCAUCAAAAAAAGAAACCUAAGGAAGAAGAGAAUCGAAACAAGAAACUGAAAGAAAAGGUUAAGGUGUCGCUACCAAUUCCAGAAGAACUCAUCCUACGUUGCUUCCUACUCGUUCGGAGAUGCCACCACCCGUCGCUUCCUUCGUCUCAUGCCAAAGCUCUACGACGAUCGCUUGCGUCUCGGCUACACCGAAAGCGUUCUUUAUGCCUGUAAUAGGAUAAACCGGUAACCGGUUUAUCCUAUUACAAUGCCUAUAUCGUACUUCUUCCUUCUGAUGAAAACCCUAGCUGGUACAUUCUCCAUCGUAAACCCUAUCGAAACUUGCCGAACACGACUUCUUUAAGAUUGUGCAAACUCGAUAUACUCCCUUUCCCUCCCAUGCUUUGGGGAUUUGUUGUGGUCUCAAUCGGUUCGGAUAUCUGAGUCGGCGAGGAACGCUCAUCGGAUAUGACUCUCAUCGAUUGCAAAUCUCACAAGUAUCGCUCGCUACCAAGAAUGAAGGUGGCUCGCUGUCUUGCAGCCGCAGGUGUAAUUGACGGAAAGAUAUACGUAAUUGGAGGUUGCUUAACAACACGAUCUUCGGAUUUUAUAGAAGUGUUCGAUGUAAAGACUCAGAUAUGGAGUGGAACGGUGAAGCCGAUUGAGAUACUACCUAGUGUGAGUAGAUAUUUUGAGGCAUGUGCGGUGAUAGAGGAGAAGAUUUACCUUAAGGGUGAUCACCAUUGUUUUGUUUACGAACCCAAAGAAAGUAAAUGGAUGCGUUUGAAAUUCCUUGAGUUGAAUCUUCUGUUCAAUGAAUCGUCUUGUGUGAUAGGUGAUAAGUUGUUUCUCAUUCAUGGAGGAAGGGAUUUUUUUGGGAUCCAAUAGUUGUGUGUGAUCUAAAGAAGAAGGAAGUGAGACCCUUGAAGGGUUUACAAGGGUUUCCGGAUAAUAUAAACAUGGCGGCGUCUAAAAUGGCGAAUUUUGGUGGAAGGUUGGUGAUUUUGGGAUGUAAUCAGCGUCAGACUUUAACUAGGUAUGAAGAAAAAAAAGAGGUUUGGUGCGUAGAGAUUGAAUUGGAAGAAAGGGAAGAAGGAGGUGAGAUUUGGGGGAAGGUUGAAUCAGUCGAUGUUGUGCUUACUACAAGAAAACAAGGCUCUUUCCAACGGAUUUUCUGACAGCAAAAAAAUGGUCGGAAAUUUUUGACGGUUUACCGAUACUAUUCUGUCGGCUUUCCGACGACAGUCCUCCCGUCGCAAAUCCGUCGCAAAUUUCCGACGGCUUUUUUGUGGUCGAAAAUUCGUCAGUGAUUUCCGACGACAUUCCGAUCAAAUUAAAUUCGGCGACGUAUUUCCGACGGUUUUCCAACCAAAAUAUAUUCGUUAUGAUCCGUCGGAAAUCCGUCGGGAGGCGAGGUUAUUUUCCGACGGAUUUCCGAUCACAAUAUUAUAAUCCGUUGGAAAUCCGUCGGGAUGCUAAAGCUAUUUUUCGGUGGAAAUUAUGAUCAAAAUAUACCCGUAAAUAUAGAUCAAAAUAAGCGGAUCUCCGUUUUAUAGCCGUUCGAAAAUUUUAAAAUUCUUCGGUAUCCGUCGGAAAUCCAUCAGAUAUUUCCAACGGCUUUCCAACGAACUAUAAGCAACGUGCCAUAUUAAUUAUUAAUUUCGUAUCAUGUUCGUCCGAUUAAUAGUUACCGUCGGAAAUUGGUCGGGCAUUUCUGACGAUUUUCCGACCAGUCAGGCUUUAGGGUAAUGAAAUUGUUCAAUUUCAUUGCAAAUUUGUGAAAAAAUUAGAAAUAAACUUCAUGUUUGUUGAAUGAGAAACUAAUAAAUCCAAGAAAAUUUUGAUUUUUCAUCAAUUUCUAUUUUUGCAAAAGAAACACAUAAGUCUUUUAAAACUUCAAGUGUUAAGUGUAGUGUAUUCUAUUGGUCCACUAGUAUAUUAGUGUUGUGUUUAACAUUUGAAGUACUAAACUAUGUAGUAAACUUCAUCUAAUUAAAUGGUUAAGCUUGUUUAUGUGCAAUGAAUCAUUGUACUUCAAAAUCAAAUCUCAAACCCCUAACUGGUCAGAAAUCCGUCGGAAAGUUCCAACAAAUUUUCGACUGCGUUUUUUGAAGAUUUUGGUUAGGCAUUCGUAUGCAAAAUAAUAUUUUAUGUUCCCGACGGAUUUCCGAGGGAUUUUUUUUGCCGUCGAAAAUCCGUCGGAAACGAAAAUAAAUAUUUCCCGCUGAGACGAAAAGCUAAGCGGCAAUAUAUGAUUUAUUAAUUUAAUUCUCAUAAAUGUUUUCCUUUUCUCUUUGGUUUUCACGCUUCUCCAUCUUUCCAAAAUGAGAACCCAAAAUUCUCUCUCAGAUCUCUCAAUUCUCACUCAAUCUCUCUAAGAUCCCUUAAAUCAUUCAAUAUCCCUCAAAUAUCUCUUAAUACUCUCACAAUUUCUUUCACAUCUCAACUCUCUCAAUCUCUCUCUGUCUCCCUCAAUCUCUCCACGUCUGUCUCCCUCAAUCUCUCCACGUCUCAUCUCAAACUCUCUACAGCCAUGUAAGUGAACCUUCUCUACCAAUUUCAAUUAGUGUUUUAGAUUUCGUUAAUUUUUGUUAUGAUUUGUUGAAAUUCUGGAUGUGUAGGUUGAUAGAUUUAUUUGUUAGUGAUAGGUUUAGGUUCAUAGAAUUAUAUUGUUUAUAGAAUUGAACAAAAUUUAGGAUGUUUGGAUUAAAACCUAAGAGGUUUAGGUUAUUAGAUUUGGAUUAAAAUUUCUGAAUUUUAGGCGUUUAGGUUAAAAGAUUUAUUAAACGAAAUUAAAAAAAUUACAUUUGUAAUAUAUUUUGAAAAUAUAGAACGUGGCUAGAAGUUAAUUUAGGAUAUAUUAAGAAUAUGCAAAAUCUAAUUUUUAAUAAUUAUGUAAACGAAUUUAUUUAUUUAUUUUGGUAUAUUAAGCUAAACGAUAUUAUAGAAAAUGGAUUUUAACAAAAGAAUGGUUAUAAUUAAUAAAUUUAGAAGUCUUUUGGAUUUCCCAUUUAAAAACAAAUUUUACUAAGAUAUCUAAAAGUUUUUUUGAAAUUAGAAACUUUGAUUUUAUUAAACUGUUUACUAAUAAUAUUAUUUUAUUUUGUAGGGGUUCUUACCAAGAUUUUCGCAGGUCCGAGGAUCGAUCGAAUAAUCAGGCGCACUCGACAACCCCAUCACCAUCGACCGUUCCCGAGUCGCAGCAGUCCACGGCUCGUCUACCAAUGACAGUUGAGGAGCUAGUCCAACAACCAGGGCGGACACUUCUUCGACGACUCCAUCCAAAAAGGCUCGAAAAAGGGAGCACAUGGUAAGUAAAUUUUGUUUUCCUGUUUUAAUAUAUACAUAUUUUAAAGUAGAAAUAAUAUUACUUCUCUAUAUUUGUAGGUUUGGUUAUACCAAAAAUGGCAUAUCCAAAUCCAUUUUACGGAUGUUGCACGGGAUGCUCAAACAUCCGUAUCCGACUUACAGUGAUAUGCCUAGCGACGAUCGAGAGCUUUGGUUCAGGACUUUCGCAGUAAUGCAUUUAUUAUUACGUACUUGAUUUUGUAUUUUUUUUAUACUACUAACAUAAUUCUUUUGGUUUGUAGCAUGAAUUCGAUUGGGAUACUGUCCACACACCCCUUGUCCGUGUCGCGUUUACAAAGUAUGCUUCAUUAAAAUAUUCAGGCCACAUGAAUGCAUGGAAAGAAAAGUGGGCGGAAGGCAAGGAGUGUCCAAAAGGCUUGAACCCAGACGUAUGGCCUGGCUUCAAACAGUAUUGGGGGUUGCCGGAUACUGCUCGUACCGCGGAAACCAACUCAAAAAACCGGAAGAGCCAACAAGGUGGCAAAGGUAUGGCGGUGCACAAUGCGGGUUCGACGAGCUUCUUAAGUCGUAUAGACGAAUUGGUAAGUCUUUUACUUUUAUUUGAUUUCAUGUUUUCUUUACAAUUUAACUUUUUUUUUUUUAUAUAUAGACGGAGAAAAACGGAGGUGUGGAACCUGAUUUUGUAGAAGUCAUUGAGGAUACACACACCAACAAGAAAACAGGAAAAAUUCAAGAUGAUUACAUCGCAGGCCUCGUUGAGACGUUGAAGAAAAGGAAGACGGAGUGCCUCACGCAGCUUUCUCAAAAUGAUGAUGGUUCCUCAUCAUCCAACGUCUUAGUCCGAGAAAAGAUCAACCGCAUGGUUCUUGAGGUAAGCUUUGUUUUAUAACUUAACAUUUUUUUGUAUACAUUUUAAAGUUUACUAACAAUUAUUAUAUACAAAUUCAGAAAAUUCCGCUAAAGCGGGUCGUGUGGUGGGCUUAGGUAGCCUAAACCAAAGCAACGGAUGUUCUUAUUCCGGUCCUUCACAGAAUUCCGAGAUCUUUGCAGAGCUUGAAGAAAAAGACAAGGAGAUCUUAGCAUUGAAAGAGCAAAACAAGAAGAUUCUUGACUUCAUGCGUUCAAAAUUUUCCGAUUUUCCCGAUGAUCUAUAAAUGCUUUUGUUUUAGUUUAAUUUUGUUGUAUUGGUAAACAAUCUUCUUUUCUUUUGUUGGAUAAUAUAUGCAUUUUUCAAAUAUUUAUUUAGUAAAAAAAUUUAUAUAUUUAUUUAGUAAAAUUUUCAAUAAAUAGUUUUUUAAAAAAUUUAAAAUUAAAAAAUUAUUUAAUUAGUGAUUAAAUAUGAUCCGUCGGUAAUCCGUCGGCUACUUAAACAUCGUCGGAAAUCCGUCAGUAAAAUACCGUCGGGAAUUCAUCGGGAAUCACUCCAUCAGUAAACUGUCGAACGUUGAUACCAACCGAUUCCCGACAAAGUUCCGAUGAAAUAACGGACAAUAGUUUUGGUUAGGAAACCGUCGGAAAGCAUCACCGACGGGUUUUCGACGGUCGGUUCCGACGAUUUUCCAACCGUUUACCCAAACGUAGCUAUUGUCCGAAAACCGUCGGGAACGAGUCGGAAAAGCUAUCGUCGGCAAUUUGAAACGAAUUUCCGACGCCUUUUAAAUUUCCGACGAGAUCGAACCGACCAAUCGAGUUCGUCGAAAAUCCGUCGGAAACAGCCAUUUCCGACGCCAUGCCGACGCCAUGUUACAGUUUGAUUCCUCUCUGCUAGUGUCAGAUAUUGAAACUGUAAGACUCAAAACAGAACACAAGAAACAGAGGAUAUAUGAAGAAUAAGAAGAACACAUGUAUCUUUAGUUACUAGCUAGUUAGCUAGGUUUUUUGUGAAGUUCUUUCCGUUUGCUUUUCGAUUUAUCUUCUUCUGCAAGUUAUUGCAAUUAGGCAUAACAAAGCCCAAAUGUGCUUCUUUGUUAUGAGCAAAUGUGUAAUCUUGGUGUAAAUGUUAGUGUUACUUAACAAAUCUUCACUUUCUACAAAAUCAAAUUUGAUGAAAUUUAAAUUGAGUUGAGACCAAAGAAACUUGUCCGUUGAGAGACGUUUUCAUAAAUUCUUCUAUUUGUGAAUUUUUAUAAGGUAGCUUAAGAGAAAACAAAAAUUUACUGUUUACAAAAAAAAAAGACUCACUGAUAUAGUUUCCGAAGAAAACAAAACAUAUGCAAAUUAUGUUACCAAAUACCAAUUAAUUUAUUGUUCACUUUUUAUAAAAAAAAAAAAAAGUAAAAAAAAAAGUAAGUGAAGAAAAACACAUUAAAGAAAAUAAAUAAUGAUAAUGUAUGAGAACAAUAUUUUAAGAAGAAUAAAAAAAUGAUUCUUUCUAAUGCAAAUUAUCUCUUUGGAUUUUUUUUUUUUAUAAUAAAAAUGAUGAACAUUUUCUAAAUUAUAAAUAUACACAACAAUUUCUAUGGAAUUGCCGGGGGCGAAUAAACCCAAUUUUCGACGAUCAAUACGUUACUUGCUCAAGAAGUUUGACACGGAUAUCCUCGCUCUCUUUGAAACUCACGCAGAAGGGGAGAGAGCGGGCAGGAUAUGCCAGCGGUUGGGCUUUGACAACUCGUACAGGGUGGAUGCGAAUGGCCAAAGCGGUGGUUUAUGGCUUCUGUGGCGAUCAAGAGUUGGGCAGGUCGCAAUUCUUGAAGCCUCAGACCAGUUCAUACAUGCAAAGGUGGGUGAUGGAGAGGAUUGUAUCCAUUUGGUGGCAGUCUAUGCAGCUCCAACGGUUAGUAGGAGAAGCGGUUUAUGGGGAAAGCUGCGGGAGCUCGUGAGGGACAUAAGGGAGCCAUUAAUCAUAGGAGGUGAUUUUAACACGAUUUUGCUGUUAGAUGAGAGGAUAGGGGUAAUGGAAGACUCUCACCCGACUCGCUUGCGUUUGGUGAAUGGAUAAAUGACCUAUCACUAAUAGAUAUGGGCUUUAAAGGAGGACCGUAUACAUGGAGACGGGGACGUAUGGAGAGUACAGUGGUUGCAAAAAGACUAGAUCGUGUUCUUUGUAACCCACAUGCUAGAUUGAAGUGGCAGGAGGCGGUGGUGACCCAUCUUCCUUUUUUAUCGUCGGAUCAUGUGCCGUUAUAUGUACAAUUAGAGCCGAAGAGUAAUUCUGACCCGAAGAGGAGACCUUUCCGAUUUGAGGCGGCGUGGUUGAGUCACAAGGGUUCAAAGAAUUGUUAAUGGCGUCUUGGGAUCCGUCAUUAGAAACUCCAAAAGCAUUGGAGGGGCUGCAGAGAACGUUAAAAAAAUGGAAUAGGGAGGUGUUUGGGGAUAUUAACACAAGGAAGGAGAAAUUGUUGGGAGAGAUCAAGGCGGUGCAGGACUUGUUGGUGGUAGCACAAACGGAUGAGCUCUUGGCGAAGGAGGCGGAGGUGUUGCAGAAUUUUGACGCCGUACUUGAGCAAGAAGAGACUCUCUGGUUUCAAAAAUCAAGAGAGAAAUUUAUUGCUCUGGGAGAUAGAAACACAACGUUUUUUCACACAUCAACGGUGAUUAGAAGGAGGAGGAACAGAAUUGAAAUGUUGAAAAAUAGUGAAGAGCUUUGGGUUUCAGAUAAGGAAGAGUUAGAGAGAAUGGCGCUGGAGUAUUAUCAACAAUUAUACUCGGUGGGAGGGCUAACCAUAGAGAGACCACAACUACCGAUGAAUGGUUUCUCAAAUUUAACUAGGGAGGAGAAGUUAAAGUUAGAGAAACCGUUCACGGAGGAGGAGGUAGUGGUGGCGGUGAAGAGCAUGGGGAAGUUCAAAGCACCGGGACCGGAUGGUUUUCAACCCGUGUUUUAUCAGGAGUGUUGGGAGAUUGUUGGGAUUUCGGUGAAAAGCUUUGUGUUGGGGUUCUUUGAAUCGGGAGUGUUGCCGACGGCUGCGAACGAUGCGUUGCUAGUAUUGCUGGCCAAGGUUGCGAAACCAGAAAAAAUAACUCAGUUUCGGCCCGUGAGUUUGUGCAAUGUUUUGUUCAAAGUGAUAACGAAGAUGAUGGUUAUUAGGCUGAAGAAUGUCAUCUCUAAGUUGAUUGGUCCCGCCCAAGCAAGCUUUAUACCGGGACGACUAAGUAUUGACAACAUAGUGGUGGUACAAGAGGCGGUACACUCUAUGCGUCGAAAAAAAGGACGGAAGAGGGUGGAUGCUCUUGAAGUUAGACCUUGAGAAAGCCUAUGAUAGAGUACGAUGGGAUUUCUUAGCGGAGACUUUGGAGGCUGCGGGUCUCUCGGAGGGAUGGAGGAGGAGGAUAAUGGAAUGUGUAUGCGAUCCAUCUAUGUGUAUAUUGUGGAAUGGGGAGAAGACGGAUGCGUUCAAACCGGAGAGAGGGCUAAGGCAGGGAGACCCUUUGUCGCCAUAUUUGUUUGUGUUGUGCUUGGAGAGGUUGUGUCACCUUAUUGAAGUAGCGGUCGGGAAAGGGGAGUGGAAGCCAAUCGGGUUAUCGCAAGGAGGUCCGAAAGUCUCACAUAUAUGCUUCGCGGACGAUUUAAUUCUGUUUGCGGAGGCGUCGGUGGCUCAAGUGCGGGUAAUAAGGAAGGUACUAGACACUUUUUGUAUGGCGUCGGGUCAAAAAGUGAGUCUAGAGAAGUCUAAAAUAUUUUUUUCGGCGAACGUAAGCAGAGAUAUGGAAAGAUUGAUCACUGAAGAGAGUGGGAUUGGAUCCACACGGGAACUUGGGAAGUAUCUUGGGAUGCCAAUCUUGCAAAAGAGGAUCAAUAAGGAUACAUUUGGCGAAGUUCUUGAGCGUGUGUCCGCAAGAUUGGCGGGUUGGAAGAGUAAGACUUUGAGCUU
rnacentral:lncRNA from 1 species